AAUGCUAUGCUUGAAAUGGCCUUCGUUAAAAUAUCUACAAGUUGAUCUUCUGAUCAAAUUUUCGGCAGUUCUAAGAUUUUUUCAUCUAAUUUCUCCUUGAUGAAAAAUUUAUCUACCUCGACGUGUUUUGUUCGAUCGUGUUGAACUGGGUUAUGAGUAAUAUCUUGUGCAGUUUUGUUGUCAGAGUAUAGUUAUAUUGGUUGUUGUGAUGGAUAGCCCAAAUCUUUUAAAUGUGAAAUUUUUACAGUUUGCUUACUGGAAAACUGAGAAAUUUGAUGGUAUUCGUAGUUUUUGAAGAUCACUUGGAAAUUUUAUGGGACUGUUGAUAGAUUUGUAAACUCAAGUUUUUACAUAUGGUGGCUUGUUUUUUUGAUUGGCAUGGGUUUCUGUAAUGUUAGGAAUGAUUUUAAGGAAGAAAAAUGGUGGAAAAAAUGGUUGUGGGAAGAAUUUGGUUUCCUCUAUUUUUGUUACAAACAGAGCAGCAAACCAUGCUCUGAUACCAUGAAGAAAUAAGUUUUUCAUUUCUCAAGUAAAACAUUAUACAUUGAGUGUAUUUAUAGAUGCAGAGGUUACAUUUUUUCAAAGAUUAAAUAUACGUAUUACGGAAGGAAAUGUGGCGUUGCCGUUCAGUGCAGAUCAUGUCUUUGACAAGUGCGGAUCAUGUUUUUGACUACUUCCUUCAAUGCCGUUUUAUUUGACAUUCUCAACAGUACAAAGGGGGUAUAAAGAAGGGGUUUCGUGAAAUAAUUCUCUAGUUGUAUCCUGAACUUUUAAAGAGUUAGUGAAAUCUUGUUUCAUUGUUUCACAGUGGAUGUAGGCUUAGAAAGCUGAACAACUUAAUUUCCGUUUGUGUGCUUUACAUUUCCAAUUCUCUUAUGCUUCUGUGAUUAGUAAAUUCUUUGUUGAGUUCGAUUGUUUUUGGACUUGAUUACAAUCUCUAGUUUCGCUUGAUUAGGGAUUUGAGGAUUAAUUGCUUCAAGAUUGAGUCUAGGGGGUUAAAGAUCAGCCAUUUGCUUGUUUUAAAUUAACAAGAACUUUAAAAAAGAAAAAAAAAGAUUAAAGAUGGUGGAAAUCAUUGUUAACCUUGUUUUAGAAGUUGUAAAAUGCUUGGCUCCUCAAACAGAUCGCAGACUUGGUUAUCUGCACAAGUACAACGACAACUUCGAGAAUCUCAAGGCAAAAAUUGAGAAGCUCAAGGAUGAAAGUAGGAGCGUUUAGCGCAGAAUUUCUGAGGCUAAAAGAAAAGGAGAAAAGAUUGACGAGAAGGUUGAGAAAUGGCAGGUUAAUACGAACAAGAACAUUAAUGAGAUAGCAAAAUUCAUUUCAGAUGAAAGGCAAUAAAUAGGCGUUGUUUCAAGGGCUUGUGUCCUAAUUUGAAGACCUGCUAUCAACUUAGCUAUAAAGCAGUUACAAUGGAGAAGGCCAUUGUUGAACUUCAAGAAGAAGCUAGAAGAUAUGAUAGAAUUUCCUACUGUACCAUUCCAUAGGAGAUAUGGCUUACGUCUCACCAACGAUAUGAGGCCUUCAAAUCAAGGCUUCCUACUAUAAAGGCCAUACAAAAAGUAUUGAUUGAUCCUAAUUCAGCAUCAUCGGGGUGUACGAGAUGUGUGGCAUUUGGAAGACAACAUUAGUGAAAGAGGUUGCUAGGCUAGCGAGACAAGACAAGCUCUUUGAUCAUGUGAUCUUUUCUGAAGUUUCACAGACUCCUAACAUAAAAAAGAUUCAAGGGGAAAUUGCAGAGAAACUCGGUUUGGUCUUGCAUGAACAAACUGAAUCUAGAAGAGCAAAUAGGCUUUAUGAAUGAUUGAAGGAUGAGAAGAAGAUCCUUAUAGUGUUGGAUAAUGUGUGGAAACAUGUUUAUUUCGACACUGUUGGAAUUCCUUUCAGAGAUGAUCACAAGAAUGUAAAUUAUUGUUGACUGUGAGAGAUCGUAGUGUACUAUUUAAGUAUGGGCUCAAAGGAUGAGUUCUUAAGUGGCGUUUUGAAUGAAGAAGAAACUUGGAGAUUGUUUAAAGUAGUUAAUGUAUCGCAAAGAACAAGGCAAAAAAUUUAUAAUAAUAAAAAGAAAAAUAUUUAAAAGUAAAGAAAUAAAGAAAUAUUUUAUUUCAAUUAUAUUGUUAUUCACUACAAUACUCUUUUAUAUAGAGCUGAAAAACAUAAUAGAAAAACAAAAUAUCUUCCUAAUAUCAAGCCAUAUCUAACCAUCCUAAGGACUUGGUCUAUUGACCAAUUAUUUAGUAAAUCUAUUACUGAAGCAACUAAGACACAUUUCCAACACUCCUCCUUGUCUUAGUAGUUGCAGAGGCCUAAUUUGUUUAUUAACAUUUCAAAUCUAGCUUUAGGUAGAGCCUUGGUUAAGAUAUCUGCAACUUGUUCCUCAGUCUUGCAAUGAAGCAGUUUAAUUUCGCCACCCUUUUGUACUUCUCUCAAGUGAUACAACUUGAUCUUGAAAUGAUUAGUCUUGCCAUGAAAAACAUGAUCAUUUGAGAUUACAAUUGCAGCUUGGUUAUCUAUAUGAAUAUGUGUCAGCUCAUUUUGUUACAUAUGUAAAUCUACAAGUAUUUUCCUGAUCCAAAUUCCUUGAUUUAUUAUAGCAUUGGCUGCUACAUAUUCUGCCUCAGCUGUACUUUGAGCUAUCACAUCUUGCUUCUUUGAAGACCAUGUAAAAAUUCCUAAUCUAAAAUUGAAACAAAAACCUUUUGUACUUUUCAUAUCAUCAACAGAGCCUACUCAAUCACAAUCAGAAAAAUUAUGAGGCUUAAAAUUCUAACAAUAAGAAUAUUUAAUGCCAUAAUUUGUUGUGCCCUUAAUAUAACUUACAAUCCUUUUGUUAGCUUGAAAAUGCACUUCACUGGCAUAAUGCAUGAACCUCGAGAGUACGCUUACUGCAAACAUAAUGUCUAGUCUGGUGGCUAUAAGAUACAUCAAGCAACCAAUCAGGCUUCUAUAUUUGCUUUCAUCAACUUUUUCUGCUCCAUCAUCUUUGCUAAAUUUCUCUUUCUAAUUCAUUGGUGUGCUGGUACUUUUGCAAUCCUCCAUGUGAAGUUUUUUGAGUAUUUCCCUUGCAUACUUCUUUUGGCUUAUGAAGACUCCAUCAUGAUCUUGCUUCACCUUCAUUCCCAGAAAAUAGGACAUCAAGCCAAGGUUUAUCAUCUCAAAUACUUUGAGCAUUUCUGCUUUAAACCCCUUUACCAAUUUCUCAUUACUUCAUGUAAUAAGGAGAUCAUCAACAUAAAUAGAAACUAUAAUUGAGUUAGCAUUUGUUCUUUUACAUAUAAUGUAGCUUCACUUGGACUUUUAAUAAAUCUAAGACUUUGAAGGUGUUCAUCAAUCCUGCUGUACCAAGCCCUAGGGGCUUAUUUAAGACCAUAUAAGGCCUUCUUCAACAAGUAGACCUUCUCCUCAUGUCCCUUGACUUGGAAUCCUUUAGGUUGCUCUACAUAAAUCUCCUCUUGAAGAUAACCAUUUAAAAGAAGAAGAUUUUACAUCUAACUGAUAAGUCUUCUAUCCCUUUUAUUCUACCAAAGCAAGCAUCAUCCUGAUUGUAUCCAAGUGUGCCAUUGGAGUAGAAGUUGAUGAGAAAUCUACUCCAAACACCUAACUAUACCCCUUCACCACUAAUCUAGCUUUGUAUUUAUUUACAGAACCAUCUGCAUUAAGUUUGGUCCUGUAAACCCAUUUGACUUUAGUAAUCUUUCUAUGUUGAGGCCUAUUCACUAACUCCCAAGUGUCAUUUCUUUCAAUCAUUCUGAGCUCCUCUUUCAUUGCUUCAAUCCACUUGUUGUCCUUCUCUAUUUCUUUAAAUUCUACAGGCUAAAAAAAGCAACACUGCUUCUUUCAUAAAUAUUAGAUAAGGGCCUUAUACCUCUAACUGGGACAUCAUUUAUGUCGUCAUUAACAUAUUGCGGUGUCUUUGUCAACUACUUCUUUAUACACUGCUCUCAGUUCAAUUGUUUAUCCUCUAUAAACUUGACAUGUCUACUUAUAAGAAUUUUUCCAUUUUGCAGUUGGAAAAUUCUAUAAGCCUUUGAAGAAUUGCUAUAUCCAAUAAAAACUCAUAGUUCUGCCUUUUUAUCGAGUUUGCCUCUCUUUACCUGUCACCUGUGGCAUAUUAGAGAAACAAAGACAACCAAAAGUCUUUAGGUUCUGUAAAUUUGGUUUGUAACUAAACCACACUUCAAAUGAAUUUUUUUUUUCUGCAAAACCCUUGUUGGCAGCCUAUUCAGCAAAAAAACUAUAGUGUUUGCAGCCUCUGCCCACAUCUUCUUUUGUAAUUCCUUCUCAUAUAGCGCACAUUGUCAUUUCCAUAAUAGUUCAAUUUUUUUCUCACUCACCAUUUUAUUGUGGUGUGUAAGGAGCUGUAAGUUGGUGUUCAAUGCUAGCUUCUUCGUAGUACUUGUCAAAAGUGUCAUUUGUGUGUUCUUUCCCAUCAUCAAACUUUAUCUUCUACAUCCUGCAACCACUUUGAUUGUCCACUAAUUUUUUACAUUUCCAAAAUAUAUUGGCAACCUCAAAUUUGAAUUUAAGAAAAUAAAUCCAGCAAAAUCUGAUAUAAUCAUCAAUAAACCCAAUGUAAUAUUUACUACCAUUUAAAGAUGAUAUUUUCUGAGGUCCUCCAACAUCUGUGUGUACAAAUUGCAGCUUGUGUGUUGAUUUCUAUGUUGUUUGAGAGAAAGGCUUUCUAGCUUGCCUGGCUUAUCGAUAAGCCACACAAUCAACUAGCUUGUCUUCCAACAAAGGAACACUUUUCACCAAAUUAUGUUUAUGCAUAUAUAGAAGUCCAUCAUGGUGGAAAUGCCCGAGCCUUUUGUGCCAUAAUUCUGCAUUGGUUACAGUGCUUGAAAAUGAUAUUUGCUCCUCCAAGAGAUUUAAAGCAAAGUUUUUUGCUUUCAUUUUCACUUUAAAUACAUCUCUACCUUCUACGUCUUUGAUCAAGCACCAUUUGUCUUCAAAUAUAACUUUGAAGCCUUUUUCAAUCAGCUGGCCAACACUAAGCAGGUUCUGGUCAAUAUUAGAUACAUAUAGAAUAUCAGUAAUAGACUUCAAACCUAUUAAACUUUCUAUAGCCACAGUUCUUUUCCCUUUGGCUAGAAUAAAUUCACCAUUUCCAAUUUUAACUUUGGAAAUGAUUGUUUUAUCAGGCUCUUUGGAGAGCUCUUGGUCAUUAGUCAUGUGGUUUGUGCAGCCACUGUCAAUCAACCAGGAAUCCCUAGAGCUGUUGCUUGUCGCGAAGCAUGUUGCUGUUAGCAUAUAUGUAUCCAUAAUAUUGAUUUUGAUGAUAACAAACAAAAUUAAGAAUGAUUCAGUUUUUAAAAGCUCAAAUGAUUUUUAUACAUUUUAAAUAAAUCAUUAUUUUCACAUUUUAAAGGUUUUAUAUUUAAUGGAAAAAUGAUUUUAUGAAAUUAUUUAUUUUUCAAGUUUAUGGUUUAAAUGAAAGAGUUUUGAAAACUUUGAAAUCAACAAAUAUUGAUUGAAAUUUUGGAGAAGGAUUUAUUUGAAAAGUAUUCAUAGCAUUUUGGGCUAUAUCAUAAUUUUAAAAAGUUUUGGGAAUAGUAAGCAUUAUUUAGAAAUUCUGAAAUUGGACUUAUUUGCUAAAUGUAUAAUGUUUUGGGUCAUAGUACAGUUAUAUAAACUUUUGGGGUCAAACUAUUAUUUUACAAAAUAGUUCACUGUAGCAGUCACUGUAGCAGUUACUGUAGAAAACGGAGAUCCGACAUUUGAUAACGGCUCGCCGACAUCUAAUAGAAUUGAAGAUUAGCCUCUGGAUACUAACGACGAUCCGACAUUUAGAUAACGGCUAACCGACAUUGCACAAAAUUGAAAGAUUAGCCUUUGGACACUAAUGGCGAUCCGACAUCUAUAAAACGGCAAUCCGAAAAUUUGAAAAUUUAGCCCAACGGUCAUAUUGACCAGUCAAACAGUGAUCCGACAUCUAGUUAACGGCGAUCCGACAGUGAGCAGAAAGUCAAUAACGGCUAGUUUUCAGCUCCAACUGUAAAUAAGUUCAAUCCAAUUCAAACAAGAAGAAUUCUAACGAUCAUCAUUGAGCAAAAUAUUGAGAAUACAACUUUCAUUGAGCUUUAAAUCCUUGUAUUCAUCUUAUUCAUUCACACAUUGAGCUUUCAUUUGUGAUCAAAUACAUUGUGUGAGAGAAAUUCAUUUGUAAUCCUUUUUGUAAAAUCAAGUUAAAAGAUUUUAAGUGUUGUGAUACACUUGGGUUAAGAGAUUAGGGAUAAUCUCUUGUUGUAAAGGUCCAUUGAUACCUUGAAAGUCAAUUGUAAGCAUUUGAAGCCUUGGAGGCUUGCUUAGUGAAAUCCUAAGCUUGGUGAGCUUGAAGGCGUGGAUGUAGGCAGGGAUUGCCGAACCACGUAAAAAUCAUUGUGUUUGCUCUCUCUUCCCUUGCUCCUUUAUUAUUGUGCUUUAUUGAAUUUAUUGUUUUUGAUUCCAUUAAGGCAUUAGAUUAAAUUGUUGUGUGAUUUGCUUAGCUUAAUUUUUAAAAUCCCAAUUCACCCCCCUCUUGGGUUGCAUAACUAGAAUUUCAUUUGGUAUCAGAGCGAGGUGCUCUUGCGCAGACUUAACCGUUUAGAGUUAAAGAUCAAUAGCAACCCAAAUUAGCUCAACCAUCAUGGAAGGCCAAUCUACCACUAGACCUCCAUUUUUCGAUGGAAAUGAUUAUCCUUAUUGGAAAACUAGGAUGAGAAUCUUUUUACAAGCCUUAGAUUAUGAAAUAUGGGAAAUAGUUUGUGAUGGUUCAUUCAUUCCUAGGAAGAAUGCUUUAACUGAGUUGGAUAGGAAAACUCUAAAAAAUGUGUAUUUGAUAAAGGAGGACUUGGAUAUAAGCCUAACUUGAAACAAAAAUAUUAUAAGAAUUAUUUUGUUAAGGCUACCUCCACAAGUGAUCAUAAAAUUGUUUGUCAUUAUUGCAAUCAAAAUGGUCAUAUGAGUUUUAGAUGUUCAGUUAAGAGAAAUGUAUAUUAUGGAGUCAAGUGUAUUUGGGUUCCAAAAGGAACCAAAUCUAACACUCAAGGACCCAAGAGUAUUUGGGUACCAAAAUGCACAACUUGAAUAUUUUCUUUGUAGGUACCACAAUCAAGGAAUGGCAGAGAGUUCCUUGAUAAAAACUUAUGAGGAUAAUCACUUGAUCAUGGUGUAAGCAAAAAUGAUGAGACAAUAUGAUUUAAUUGUUUUGGUAACAAUUAUUGCCUUAUUGAUUAUAAGUGAUGGUCUUUUAAUCUUAGUAAGUAUUUAAUAAUUCAUUUGGUAACAUAACAUUAAGUGCAUUAACAUGAAGUGGAUAAGUUUAUUUUGCCUAUUUAUUAUGUUGAGUGGAUCAUGAAAAAUGGAUAGUAGCUUGAAUUUGUGAAAGUAUACUUGUAUGUUUACAUAAUUGAAUUAUCAUUGUGUUUAACUUUGAGUGCUUUAUCAUAAUGCAUGGUUAUAUAUAUAUGAUGAUAGCUUGUCAACUCAUCAUUGAAAUACAAGUAUGCAACCCAAGAGGGGGAGGGGGGGGGUGAAUUGAGAUUCUAAAAAUUAUUUGAUUCUAAAACAAAUAAUCAUGCAAAUCUAAAAUGAAUUUAAUGGAAUAACAAUUAAAUCAAUUACAAUAUAAAAAGAUAAGGGAAGAGAGAUUCAAACAUGAAGAUUUUUACGUGGUUCGGCCAACCUCGCCUACGUCCACACCUCCAAGCUUUCCGGGCUUGAGGAUUUCACUAAGCAAGCCUCCAAGGCUUCAAAUGCUUACACUUGACUUUCAAGGUGUCAAUGAACCUUUACAACAAGAGAUUAUCCUCAAUCUCUUAACCCAAGUGUAUCCCAACACUUACAAUCACUUAAAGUAAAAGAUUAAAAAUUAUUUUUCUCUCACACAAUAUUUAAGAUUACAAAUCAAUGCCCAAUGUGUGAAUAGAUGAAGCAAGAAUGUGUUUUAAAGCUCUAUGAAGAUUGUAUUCUCGAAUAUAAGCUCAAUGGUCGUGUUGUGAUCCAUUUUGUUUGAAUUUGAAUGAGCUUAUUUAUAAAUGGAGCUGAAAAACUAGCCGUUAUAGACUGUCUGAUCGCAAACGGUUCGCCAUUAACCAUUAACGGUUCACCGUUUAGGCUGGUCAAAGUUACUGUUGGAACAAUUUUCAAAUAAACAGUUUGCCGUUUAUGGUUACUCUUUCACCGUUAAUUCCUAGAGACCUGCAAGAUGAACAUCAGUUAUCCGUUUACAUUAAACGGUUAAGGAUUUGCAUAAAAUGACCUCUUUGGAAAUUAUCGGUUAGCCGUUUGUAAUUAACGGUUCACCGUUUGUUUCCAGUAACCUGCAAAACAAGUUAGCCUUAUCCGUUUCAGUUAAGCUUUUGCCGUUUGUUUACAAUCUUUCAUUCUGGAUUUUAUCGGUUAAUCGUUUCAAUAAACGGUUCACGGUUUAAUUCCAGUGGCCUUCCCAGCUUUUUGUAUCUUCCGUUUUUUCUUAACGGUUAAAGCUUAAGCAAUUUGAUACUCUCUUGUUUUAAUCGGUUAACCAUUUCAAUAAACGGUUCACCGUUUAUUUCCAGAAUCACAGUUUAAGCCAGAUUUUGCAGAGAAUCAUUUUCCAAUUUGAAAUUUAACAGUGAUCCAUCUUCUAUGAAUAUAAUUGGAAUGUUUAUAAGGCUCUCGUUUAUUAAGGAAUAGCUCCAACAUUUUAAUCAAAAUCCAUUUAAAGUUUGUUAUCAUCAAAAUCAAUAUUAUUAACAUAUUCAUGUUAACAAUCAUGAUGGAUUUGUUUGAUUUUAAUGAUUAUGUAAUGCCUAAGCAUGAUAAAUAAGUGAUAUGCUUUAAUUCUCAAUCUUUGAAUGCUUACAUAUUUCAUGAUUGUGUGAUGUAUAUGCAUGAUAGAUGAGUUAUAUGUUAUUUCUUGUAUUAGAAGUGAUCAUGGUGGAGUAUUUGAAAAUCAUGCAUUUGAGAAUUUUUGUAAUGAUUUUUCCAUUGAGCAUCAAUUUUCAUCACUUAGGACUCCACAACAAAAUGGAGUUGUAGAGAGAAAGAAUAUGUCUAUUCAAAAAAUGGCUAGGACCAUGUUGAUUAGAUCUCAUCUUAAUAAAACUCCCUAUGAGCUUUGGAAAGAUAGAAAACCCAACAUUGGUUAUUUCAAAGUUUUUGGAUGCAAAUAUUUUAUUUUGAACAUAAAAGAUAAUCUUGGCAAAUUUGAUCCAAAAUUUGAUGUUGGUAUUUUUUCUUGGCUAUUCAAUCACAAGCAAAGCUUAUAGAUUGUAUAACAAAAGAACUUUGGUUGUGGAAGAAUCUAUACAUGUUACAUUUGAUGAAUCUAAUUCUUCCUCUACGGAGAAAGUUGUUGUUGAUGAUGAUGUAGAUGAAAAGCUAGAAGAAGAUUCAUCAAAGGAUAGCCAAAAGAAUGCACCACUUGAAAAUCAAGAGGCGCAACAUGAAGAAACAAAUGCGGAGUAAAAUGAAGGGGAGAUUUUGCCGAAAUUUUUGCUCGCACAAAAUGGGUAAUAUCUUCAUUGAAUUAUUUUUGAUGAUCUUGUUUCGAUUGCAUCUAUCUAUCAUUUUUUUUAAUAUGAUGAAGUGAGAGAUAAAUAUGAUAUGUUUUUGGAUAAAAUCAUUUUGGUUAAAAUUUUAAAUUGGCCAUAUAUUUAGGGGGAGCAUACAAUAUGAUUUUGGAUAAUAUGCAUUUUGAAUUUUUUUGUUGUCCAAAGGGGGAGACAAAGUAAUAUAUCAUUUCGAUGUUGUCAAAAGGAGGAGAAUAAUAUGCACUUUGAGUAUUGUUUUGAUGAUUGAUAUGUGAUUAUGGUGAUGAUUUUGGGAUAUGAUGAUGAUUUGACUACAUGGUUGUUUUAUAUGAUAAUUUUAUAAGUUGUUGAUUUGGUAAUUGAUGAAAUAAUAGUUCAUGAUCUUUUUAUGGUUGAUGAAUUAUGUGAUGAUUUGUAUAUGGAGUUGGCUUGUAUCAUGAUUUAUAAUAAUUUGGGAGUAAUAUUAUUAAACUUGUAUUUGAGGUAAUGCUUGUUGUUAGGGGGAGAUUCUAUCAAAAUUUCUACUCGGCAACAUGGGCAACUAAUUUGCUACUCUUUUUCUUUUCCACUAAGUUUUCUUUUUGAUGAUGAGGGGGAGAAGAAUACAUGUAUUUAAAUUUGUUAAUUUACCUAAAUUGUAAGAGAAGCUUACAUUUAGGGGGAGCAAUUUGUGGAAUCAUUCUUUAAAUAUAUGAAAAGUUUGUCAUCAUCAAAAAGGGGGAGAUUGUUAGCAUAUAUGUAUCCAUAAUAUUGAUUUUGAUGAUAACAAAUAAAAUUAAGAAUGAUUCAGUUUUUAAAAGCUCAAAUUAUUUUUAUACAUUUUAAAUAAAUCAUUAUUUUCACAUUUUAAAGGUUUUAUAUUUAAUAGAAAAUGAUUUUAUGAAAUCACUGUAGCAGUUACUGUAGAAAACGGUGAUCCGACAUCUUGAUAAUGGCUCGCCGACAUCUAACAGAAUUGAAGAUUAGCCUCUGGACACUAACGGCGAUCCGACAUUUAGAUAACGGCUAACCGACAUUGCACAGAAUUGAAAGAUUAGCCUUUGGACACUAACGGCGAUCCGACAUCUAUAAAAUGGCAAUCCGAAAAUUUGAAAAUUUAGCCCAACGGUCAUAUUGACCAGUCAAACAGUGAUCCGACAUCUAGUUAACAGCGAUCUGACAGUGAGCAGAAAGUCAAUAACGGCUAGUUUUCAGCUCCAACUAUAAAUAAGUUCAAUCCAAUUCAAACAAGAAGAAUUCUAACGAUCAUCAUUGAGCAAAAUAUUGAGAAUACAACUUUCAUUGAGCUUUAAAUCCUUGUAUUCAUCUCAUUCAUUCACACAUUGAGCUUUCAUUUGUGAUCAAAUACAUUGUGUGAGAGAAAUUCAUUUGUAAUCCUUUUUGUAAAAUCAAGUUAAAAGAUUUUAAGUGUUGUGAUACACUUGGGUUAAGAGAUUAUGGAUAAUCUCUUGUUGUAAAGGUCCAUUGACACCUUGAAAGUCAAUUGUAAGCAUUUGAAGCCUUGGAGGCUUGCUUAGUGAAAUCCUAAGCUCGGUGAGCUUGAAGGCGUGGAUGUAGGCAGGGAUUGCCGAACCACGUAAAAAUCAUUGUGUUUGCUCUCUCUUCCCUUACUCCUUUAUUAUUGUGCUUUAUUGAAUUUAUUGUUUUUGAUUCCAUUAAGGCAUUAGAUUAAAUUAUUGUGUGAUUUGCUUAGCUUAAUUUUUAAAAUCCCAAUUCACCCCCUCUUGGGUUGCAUAACUGGAAUUUCAGUUGCAACAAAAUGUUGCUCCUCUUCAUGUUGCUCCGUAGAAGUGUUUGCCUUUUCAUGUUGUUAAGACUUGCAAAUAUGCUCAAUGUGUCCAAUCUUACCACAUUUUCUGCACUUGACAUCAGGCCUCCACCAACACUUCAUUUGUGGAUAAUUUGUCUUUUUAUAGUGUGGGCAUGCUUGAUAGAUCUUAUCCUUGUUUCUGUUGUUGUUGUUGCUAGUCUUUUUCUUCCUUUUGUUGUUGUUCCUAUCUUUAGCUCUUCUUGAACUUUCUGCCCUUGCUUGAAGAGCACUCUCCAUCGUUUCUUAUUUUCUCAUCAUUCUCUUUUACUAUGGUGCCUAUAAUGCAUUUACCAAUUUUGGUAAGGAUAUUCUUGACAAAUCCUUAGAUUCUUUUAGUGAAGAUAUUUUAGACUCAUAUAUUUCAGGCAUAAUAACAAGAAUUGUUUGCGCAAUUCGUUCAUCAGAGAAGUUCUUACCAAGCAACCUCACCUUAUUUACUAUACUUUGCAGCUUGUCAGAGUAGUUUUUGAUGGUUUUGUUAGGAUUAAGCGCUUACUACUAGGCUAAAAGCUUAGGUUAUAGCCAAGACGCAACUUUAUUUUCUUAUACCAUGGAAGCACAGAGCUCCACACUAAGCGGCGAGUGGAUAUGAGGGGCUGUACACAUUUGUAAUUGUGCCAACGGGUCAGGCAGUUACACCCUAGGUAACCUUACUGCCACCUCAAUGGAAUUACACAGUAGGAUGUUACACCUACAAACGCACAGAAGAAUUGUUGCAACCCAAGAGGGGGGUAAAUUGGGAUUUUAGGUUUCUGUCUCUUUCAUUUUCAGCAUUUCAAACUUCCUGAUCAAAUUGAGUGUUGGAUAUUUUUACUUCUUUCAUUGCCUUGGUAUUUCUUUUUAAGGUAGUCCGAUAUACUCUUUGUUGACUCCAAAUUGAUUAUUCUUGUAAAGAUAAUGCUUGAAACAACAGAGAAUAGGCAAUAUUUAGCUUUGGACUUCCUAGUCUUCCUCUCUUUAUGGGUCUUAAGCUGAGCCAUUAUAGGAUUCGUUGGCAAUGAGGGCACAUCAUAGUCUUCCUCUAUCAGAAGCAAUAUUUAAAGAAGGUACUACAACAUUUUGGUAUGACUGAGCAGACAAACCUGUGAAUACCCCGUUAGCUUUUGAUAACUCUAUGAAAUAAGAGUUAUCAUGACAUUUUUAAACUUAAAUCAAUAAUACUUAGAGAGUAAAAAAUGUGUUUUCAUUAGAUUUUUAUUAUAUUUUGCAUAAACAUUCAUCUUAGUUUAUUCAUAAUAAAUUUUGUUUGAUUUAGAAUAAUUUGUAUGCUAAAUCAUAUGCAUAAUUGUAGGUGUCCGGAAGCCCAAAUUUCAAGGAAUGCUGAUGCAAUAGGCUUGCAAAAGAUGGAAAAGAACUUAGCUACAAAAGAAUUGAAAUAAAUCGGGAACAGUGCAGUUGCUGUAGCCGUUGCUGUAGCAACCAUUGCUAUAGCAAUCCUGGAACAACGACAGAGAAAAUUUCCCGCGGGAUACUUGCAGAAUUGCGAUCUGUAGUUUCCUAAUCUGACUUAUGCGCGCCCUAGGCUUCCGUUUACCCUAAUUUUCAGCUAUAAAAGAAGCACACAUCAGAAGGAAUAAGAGGAGCCAUCACCCAAGGAGAAAAACACAAAGAAACAAAAGAAAAACAAGAUUCAAGAGAAAGAUUAAGGGCUGCACAAGAGGAGAAAUUGCAGAGAUCAAUCGGGAGCUCAGUCCUUCUUAUUCUUCUCUUAUUUUCUUAUUUUCUAUUUAUUUAUGGGGAUGUGUUUCAUGGCCGAAACUUUGUUCUUUAUUUUUCUUUUGCAAAUCAUGAACUAAAUUUAUUUAUAGUUGAGUGAUAAACAAUCUUGAUGGUUUAUUGACUAAAAAUAUGAGUUGCUGCAUGUUUGUUGUAGAGUUUUGUUUUGAUAACAUUUAUUUUUAUUCAUUAUUUCGGCUAAUCACCCAUUUAAUGAUACAAGUUAGGAGAGAGCCACAAAAGGGCCUAUCUUAGUGGAACAUAUAAGAGCAAUACUUGGUUUUAGAUUGGGUUUCCUGGAUUGAGUUUAACUUAUCCCAAAAGGACCAUGCUUAAUCUAAAAUUAGUGAUGAACUAGACAUAGAGAUUCGCCUUGUAGGGUAAAUAGAACCUAAGCGUUUAAUGCUAUAUCUUAUGUUGGCAUAACAACUGAUCACUGUUAGGUUGUAUAUAGAUAUAAGAUAUCAAACAUUCGACGGCUGAUGAUACAUAAGGAUUCUGCCCAGUGCUGUAGCAACUGAGCCAACCAUUAGAAAAUAGUCAAGACCAUUAGGAGAGUUUAUUCACUCAAAUACUCUAUAUUCCCAUUGGUUUUAUCCUUGAUCUUGACGUGAUAAUUUACUUUUUUGUAUUUUAUUUAUUGCGUUUUUAUUUUAAUUAGUAGAUUAAUUUCAUUAAUUGUUUUAUCUUAAUUUAAAGCAAAAUCUGCACUGUUAAGAUUCCUGUAGCAAGUCUAAUAACAUCAAUCCAUAUCGAGACGAUCUUGAAUACUCAUCACUUUAUUAUUUGUUGUGUACACUUGCACAUUGACACUAAUAGCAUUUGAAUUUAUACCCAACAACUUCUCAUUUCAAGCUUUCUGCACAACUAUCUAUUUCGACAGAUGCGAAACAAGAAUAUAUGUUGCAACUUCCGUACUGAAAUGUAGUGGGUAACUUGAUGUAUGCAAUGGUGUGUACAAGGCCUGACAUUUCACAUGCAGUUGGUAUAGUGAGUAGGUUCAUGGAUAAUCCUGGAAAAGGGCAUUGGCAAGCUGUGGAAUGGAUUUUUCAACACAUUCAAAAGACUAUGGAUGUUGGUUUACUGUUUGAGCGAGAUGAUAUACUUUGUCAAGAUGUAAUCGGGUACGUCGAUUCUGAUUAUGCUGGUGAUUUGGACAAACGAUAGUCAACCACCAGAUAUGUAUUUAUUUUUGCUAAAGGGCCAAUCAGUUCGAAGUCUACACUACAGUCUACAGUUGCACUGUCAACCACAAAAGCUGAGUACAUGGCAAUUACAGAGGGUAUUAAAGAGGUUAUUUGGUUAAAGGGUUUGCUUGAAAACUUGGGAUUGGUCCAGGAACAUGUUAACGUGUAUUGCGAUAGUCAAAGUGCUAUUCACUUAGCAAAAAACCAACUUUAUCAUGCACACAUGAAGCAUAUCAGCGUACGAUUUCACUUUUUGCGGGAAAUUAUUGAUGAGGGGAAGAUUCUUCUACAGAAAAUCAAGACUGCAGAGAAUCCUGCAAAUAUGUUGACCAAGGUAGUGACGGCAAUCAAGUUUGAGCAUUGUCUAAACUUGAUCAAUAUCCUACUAGUUUGAAAGCAGUCCGAGAAGGCAGAGACCGGAGGAUGGUUUGCUGAUAGUCGGCUCAAAUUAAAAAAUUUUCGCUGAAGUGGAGAAUUGUUGAAAAGUCAGUCCACCAAAGCUGAUUUUUUGUACAAUUUGGCUUGACAAAUUGGAGGUUGGUGGCACAAAUAUUUGACAAAAUGAAGCCAUGCAUGCAUGAAGUUUUUAGUGGCUACCAAAGUUGAUUUUUCAUUCUAAAUUCAAUUUGACAAUUUGACAAAUUGUAGCCAAAUUGGAAAGCAGUAGGUAAGCAUUACUUGCCUAUAAAUAGAGAGGAAAGGAAAAGCUUCAAAUCCAUCCUAAUUGAGAAAAUUGAGAGCAAUUGCAAGUGAAGCAAUUAGAGAGUUUUGAGAGAGCUUCCACUAGAUGCCGCAUGACAAAGGUUGAAUACGAGUCUAAGAUAUCGAUGUCAGAGGAAAUUAGGGAGGAGAAGGAGGAAGAUGUAGGGGGUGACCAGUUGGCUUGUUUAAAGUAUUUUUUAUUUUUUAGAUUAAUUAUGCUCUUUUUGAUGUUAAAUUAUGAAUUGAUAUUUAAAACUCUAUGCUGACCUUAUUGGUGUAAUGGCAAAUUAAUUAGGCUGAACGUCCCAUGAUCUUAUUCUUAUCGGACACUGAUGAGGAUGAGGACGAGGAGUAUGGUGAAGAAGAUGAAGAUGAGGAGGAUGAUGGUGCAGGUGAUAAUAUCCAUUCAUGUUGAAAUUACUUACCAUGAGAAGGAUGAUGAGCCAGUGACAUUGCUUGAAUGACUUUGACGUUUAUGCUUUGUUUUCCUUAUUAAGAAUAUUAUAGAUACUUUGUUGGGCAAGAAUUGUACAUGUUGAUUCUAAUUAAAACCUACCAAACGACCUGUUUUAACCCGCAAGAUUGUAACAGUAGUUAAGAACAAUUAAUUGAAAGUUAUUGCGUUGAUCACCUCACUUCACCUACCUUGUUUCUCUAAAUGAGCCAACUUAAUUAUCUCCAAUGUGAGAAAAUAUAGAAUACCUCAGAUGUAUUACAAUCAAUUGAUGCAUGCAUUACAUGUGUAGUUGAAUUUAAUACAACCACCACUUACAUGAUGGUUUUUCAAAAUAAAUGCACACAUGUCAUGACAUUAUUUACUUGUUGUAUGACUGACGUGGUACCUCAGAUGUAUUCUAGAAUUUCUCCUCUAAUGUAUAUAUUACAUUGAAUUUGAUAAAUUCAUUUCACAAUCUAGAGAAUUUCGCCAAUUAAUGCAGCCCAAAACAAUUAUAAUGAAUUCACUAAGACUUUUGAAGAUCAUUGCUUCAUGUUCCGGGAUAAAAAAUAUGUGGAUCCUAGCACUUCAUUUCUGUAAUUAACCAACUAAAUUGAAAGAACAAAUUAGUAUAUGAAUAAAUAGCUCAAAAUAUCACAAACUAUCUUAGUAUCCUGCUAUGCGUGUUUUAGAUCUUUCAUCAAGGUUUAGAAUUGUCUCUUAGAUUUUUUUUUUCUUUUUUCCCUUCUUGUGGUUUGAUUGUCAACAUUGAAAUUGUAAAUAGAGUGAAAAAAAACCCAACUUGAUUGUUAAUAUCAAAAUUCAAAACUUAAUUUUAAUUAAUGAAUUAAGAGAGGUUAGGAAUGAAAUGAAUUAAAAAGAGAGAGAGAGAGAGGAUUGUUGUCCUUAUAUCAAUACUUUCAAUGGACCUACAUUCUACCAGAUGCUUUUUAAUUUAUAUAUGUACAUAUAUUUUUUGAAUGAUCCUGAGGGAAAAAAAAAUAAAACUACAGAGAUUAUCAAUUUUAUUACUUUAAUUUUUCUGAUAUAUUAAUUCAUCAUUAGAAAAGUCUGAUAAUAGCUCAAUAAAAGUUUGAGCACAUUCGGUACCAUUUUCUACAAGCCAUUUUCCAUUUUUUGAGAAUAAGAUGGUAUAAAACUUGGUGGGACUAUUUUUACUUACAAAGAACUUUUGUAAAAGCAUAUGCUUGCUUUAACUUUAGCGGCAUGUAUAUCCAUUGGCUGUCUGCCACAAUUAAAAAAUGUCAAAAGGCAUCUACUUUAUUUUCACUUCGUGGAAGGUUGGAUUCAUACUCACAUUUCUUUACUAUCUUUGUAUCAUUCUAUCUGCCAUUUGAUUAUUAUUAUAGUCUAUUUACUACUUCCCUGUUGUCCAAGAUUUGGUCCCGAGUUCUAUAUUUUCAAAAUUUGAUCUCAAUAACACCUAGCUUCUUUAUUUUUUGCUGUUAUUCUGUUAUGCAUUUUGCUUGAUUUCUAUUUUCAUUAAAAUGGUUGAAAUUGCGGUCGCGAUUGCUGUAAAAGUUGCUGAGUGCUUGGUACACCCCAUAAUUCAUCCGUUUGCUUACUGCUACAACUACAAGAGCAACUUAGAGAAACUCAAGAAUGAAGUUCAGAAGCUGAGGGGUGCCAAAGAGAGUGUCCAGCAAAAGAUUGAUGAUGCUAAAAGAAGUGGGGAAGAUAUUGAGCAGAGAGUUGAGAACUGGCUGAUUACUGCUGACGAGAUCUUGGAUGCUGCCGCAAGGAUCAUUGAAGGCACCGAGGAUACAACUAACCGAUUGUGUCCUAAUUUAAACACCCGCUAUCAGGUUAGCAAGAAAGCAGCUAGGGAGGUGAAGGCAGCAGCUGAACUCCUGCAGCAAGAAGGGAGAUUUGAUAAAGUUUCCUACCGUACAGUUCCAGAAGACGUAUGGCUUACUUCCAUCAAAGGUUACGAGGCUUUUGAAUCAAGAAUGUCCACUUUGAAUGAUGUGAUAAAUGCCUUGAAGAAUCCUGACGUUCACAUGAUUGGGGCGUAUGGAAUGGCCGGGGUUGGGAAGACAAUGCUAGUGAAGGAAGUGGCCAGGCAAGCUAAGGCUGAUAAGCUCUUCGAUGAGGUGGUUUAUGCAGAGGUAUCUCAGAGGCCAGACGUAAAAAAGAUCCAAGGACAAAUAGCAGAUAAGCUGGGUUUGAAAUUCUACGAGGAGAGUGAAUCCGGAAGAGCAAGGAAGCUAUGUGAACGAUUGAGGAAAGAGAAGAAGAUCCUUGUGAUUUUAGAUGACAUAUGGACAAAUCUUGACCUUGAGAAUGUGGGAAUUCCUUUUGGAGAUAGGGGAUGCAGAGUUUUGAUGACAGCAAGAAGUCAAGAUGUAUUGUCAAGUAAGAUGGAUUGUCAAAAUAAUUUCUUGAUUGGUGUUCUAAAUGAAAGUGAAGCUUGGGAUCUGUUUAAGAAGUUAGUGGGUGAUAAAAUUGAAAACAAUGAUUUGAAAUCUCUAGCAAUGAAUAUAGUAAAGGCAUGUCGAGGUUUGCCUAUUGCUAUUGAUACAAUAGCUAGGGCAUUAAGAAACAAGAAUACAUUUGAGUGGAAGAGUGCGCUGCGAGAACUAACAAGGCCUUCCUCAGGUAGCUUCUCAGGAGUGGCAGCUGAGGCGUACAAAACUUCAGAGUUGAGUUACAAUCAUUUAGAAGGUGAGGAACUCAAGUCAACCUUUCUGCUUUGUUGCUAAUGGAUUUUAUUGAAAUCCUUCAGUUCUUUAUUUGUUGAGCUAUGGAAUGGGUUUGGGUUUAUUUAAGGGCACACAUACAAUGGAAGAAGCACGAUAUAGAGCUCUCACAUUGGUUAAUAAACUCAAAAACUCUUGCUUGUUGCUUGAUGAUCCCGAGAGUGAAACUUUUUCUGAGCAUGAUGUUGUUCGUGAUGUUGCUAUGUCAAUUGCAUCCAGAGACCAACAUGUAAUUGCUACGAAUAACAUUGAGGCUCCUCCUACGGAAUCGUUAGAUAAGGAUACUCUCAAAAUUUGCACUGCGAUCUCUUUGCAUAAUUGUAAAAUUGGUGAACUUGUUGAAGGUUUCGGCAACUUAAGUUCUCUCUGCAGGUGCUUUGAAGACAGCUAGGUUACGAGCAGGUCCAAAUUGGGAACUGGAUGAAGAAUAUUGCUGGGCAGGUGACCUCAAUACAACACUUCAGCACUCGAAUGAAAAAAUGGUACGCCACUGAUUCAUUAAUCUAUCUCACUAACUUGAUGGCUGGUGAACAUAUUUAAUCAGCUACCAUUGAGAGUUAUGUUUAAAACUACAGGCUAAACGUCGCAUGACAGAGGUUGAAUACGAGUCUGAGAUGUCGACGUCAGAGGAAAUUGAGGAGGAGGAGGAGGAAAAUGUAAGGAGUGACCUAUUAGUUUGUUAAGAUACACACACAUAUAGUAGUUUUUUGGUACGAGAUCUUAAAGUGUGGGAAACGUCCGAGAAAACUUUAAAAUCGUGGAGUUUUAAAGGCUUAAAACUUAAAGCGCUUAAACCGCACGGUUUAUGCGUUUUCCCGGACGUUUCCACACUUUAAAAUUUCGGAUUGCAACAUUUCUAUAUAUAGAAUAUAUUUAUAUAUAUAUGUAUGUAUGUAUAGACACACACACAUAUACAUAUAGAUGCUGACCUUAUUGGUGCAAUGGUAAAUUAAUUAGGCUGAGCGUCCCAUGAUCUUAUUGGAUACUGAUGAGGAUGAAGAUGAGGAGUACGGUGAAGAUGAUGAAGAUGAGGAAUAUAGUGAAUAUGAUGAAGAUGAGGAGUAUGGUGAAGAUGACGAAGAUGAGGAGGAUGAUGGUGAAGAUGAUGAUAUCCAGUCAUAUUGAAAUUACUUACCAUGAGAAGGAUGAUAAGCUGGUGACAUUGCUUGAAUUACUUUGAAGUUAAUGUUUUGUGUUCCUUGUUAAGAAUAUUAGAGGUACUUUUAGGGCAAGAAUUGUACAGGUUGAUUCUAACCGAAACCUACCAAAUGGCGUGUUUUAACAUGCAAGAUGUUAAUAGCAGUUAAUUAAGAACAAUUGAACGUCAUUGCUUCAAUCACCUUAUUUCAUCGAGAAAUUCUAUAAUAUAUCAGAGGUUUCAUGUCAUAAUUUAAUGUGAAACCUCCAUAUAGUAAUAAUUAGACAUGUGGUUAUUAGUUUGAAUCCUAAAAAUUUCCCUCCCUUUACAUCAUCUUUCCUCCAUUUUUUAAAAAUACUUGUUUUUCUUCUUCUCUCUCAUUCCUUUCGAAUUUCCCAAUUUAACAAAAUAGAAGACAAAACAUUAAUAAUCAUUAAAGCAUGGUCAAGUCUGUUUGGAAAUUGGAAUGAGGGUGAGAAUUGCGUGCAAGCAAAAGGAAUCAGAGAUACUUUACACAGAUGAGAUUUUCAGAAAAGAGCCAUCUUCAGAUCUUCUUAUCAAAUCUUGUUUAUAAGAACAUAUUGGCUCUAAUUCACAAAAAAUAAACCCUUUUAACCUCUUUCCUUCAUUUUGGAUAUUCUGUUUCCCCCUUCUCUUUCCUCUCUUCCGGAUUUCCAAAACUGCAAAUUAUUUAGUUUCUCUCACAUUCAAUCAUACCUAGUUUCUCGUCAUGCAGUGUAUAAUCUAUCUUCAAUGGUUGCCAAACUUUUUUCUUUUUAGCUUUCUAUUUGUCUUCAAUCUUGAAAUUUUAUUUUUUUGCUUAUAAACUGUCAUUCUAAUUAUCUAAAAUCUUUCAACUUCUAUUCCUGAAUUUAAACAUUUAUAUGAAUGGCAGACGAAGUAACACUCGCGGAAUUCCAUCCAAGUCCGUUUCGAAAGAGGGUGAGAAAUAAUGCCCUACAAGCAAAAGGGAUCAAAUUUAAAUUUAUUUAUUUUUAUAUUACUGAGUUUAAUAGGUUACAAGAUUGAUUCUUUUUUCCUUCCUCUUUCAAUGGUGAUUCUCAGAUUCCCUUAUAUUGGGAAAUUAUAAUUUAACAAUGGUGAUGGAAGAUGGAUUAAAUCAUUUCAGCUCUAUUAUAUUUUCUGUAAAGUACUUUUUUAGCACUAGUGACCCAAACCAAAAGAAUGGGAUGAAAUAAGGAGAUGUUGACAAUUUGCAGAAAUUGGAUCUCUUUUUCCAGAGAAUCUAAGUUGUCAUGCGUUAUUCUACCUCAUCAAAGUAACAAUAAACAAAAGAGUAGUGGACUCUAGAAAAAUAUGGUGAAAUCUCUCAAAUCCUAAUAAUCGAAAGCAAGUGUUGAAAGUAUUGACAAACUGAAACUAUCAUCAAAAUAUACACAAAUUAUGUGAAUUAAAACUACAGAAUUUUCGUAGAGCAUAUCCUUACAAUUACAAAAGAAGAUCACUCUAAGAAAGAAUAAAAAAAUUAAAAUUUAUAUUUUAAUCCCUUCUUCUUUGCUGCCAAAAUCAGGCCAUAAAUAUUUUCCUGGCCAUUGCCAAGAAGAGAUAUAUUUGAUUCCUUUCUGGAAAUCUCUUCUUUGUAGAGUAUAUUUGAUUCCUUUUGCUUCUAUGCAAUUCUCAUCACCUUCAUUCCAAUUUCCAAAUGACUUGGCUGUGCAUAAAUGAUUAUUAAUGUUUUCUCUUCUAGUUUGUUAAACUGGAAAAUUCAAGAGGGAUGAGAGGAAAUAGCGAAAACAAAUAUUUUUAAAAAUGGAGGAAAGAGCCAAGAGGAUGGAAAGGGAGGUAAAUUUUUAGGAUUCAAAUUAAUAGCCACAUGUCUAAUUAUCAUUGUUGGUGAUUCAACAUCAGAUUACAACAUCAAACUUCGGAUGUACUAUAGAAUUUCUCCACCUACUUGUUUCUCUAAAUGAACCAACUUAAUUAUCUCCAAUGUGUGUUACAUGAAUUUGAUAAAUUCGUUUCACAAUCUUGAAAAUUUCGACAGUUAAUGCAGCUCAGGAUAAUAAUAAUUAGUUCACUAAGAUUUUUGAAGAUUAUUACUUCAUGUUCCGGGAUAAAAAAAUAUAUGGACCCUAGCACUUCAUUUGCUGUAAUUAACUAACUAAACUAAAAGAAAAAAAAAAGUUUAUAAAUAAAUAGCUCAAAAUAUCACAACCAUUUUAGUAUUAUGUUAUGCUAGUUUUAGACCUUUCAUCAAGGUUUAGGAUUGUCUCUUAGAAUUUUUUUUUUUCUAUCAUGGUUUGAUUUCCACAUUAAAAUUAUCAAUAAAAUGAAAAAGAACUAAAUUGAUUGUUAAUAUCAAAAUUUAAAACCUAAUCUUGACCACUCAAUAAAUUAGGAGAGGUAAGGAGAGAAAUGAAAAAAAAAAUAAUAAGAGAGGAUUGUUGUCCUUUUAUCAAAUACUUUCAACGAACCCACAUUUUACCCGAUGUUCUGUAAUUUAUAUAUACAUAUACUUUUUGAAUGAUCCCAAACAAAAGAGAAAUAAAUCUAUAGAAAUUAUCAAUUUCAUUACCUAAAUUUUUCUAACAUAUUAAUUCACCGUUAAAAAAGCCUGACAAUAGCUCAAAAAAAUUUAGAGUGCAUUUGGUGCCAUUUUCUGCAAGCCAUUGUCCAUUUCGUGAAAAUAAAAUAGUGCAAAAACUUAUUUGGUGGGGCGGCUUUUACCCCCAUAAAGUAAAUAUACCGAAAACAAAUCAUUCUCCUUUGGAGAACAGCAAAUUAUCGNNNNNNNNNNNNNNNNNNNNNNNNNNNNNNNNNNNNNNNNNNNNNNNNNNNNNNNNNNNNNNNNNNNNNNNNNNNNNNNNNNNNNNNNNNNNNNNNNNNNCGUAUAUUUAAUAUAUUUAUAAUAUAUAUAAUUUGAAAUAAUUAAUAUAAAUAAUUAUGUGAUAAUUAAUAAAUUAAUUUUAAAAUUUCCAAAAUAAAUAAAAUUCAAGUAAAAAAUAUGUUCUUUAAGGAAAAUAAAUUAUAAAUAUUUCUUAGUAUAACUUUAAUAAUUUUGUUGGCCCCACUAAAACCCAUUAUAGUACAAUUGUUUUCCAUACUCUUUUAUUUUCUCUAAUUUGAUAAACAGCCAAUUAAUUGCAUUUUCACCUUUUCAUUUUUAAAUACUAUUUUAAGGGAAAACUACCAAAGGCUUGUCCAAAUUCACUAAAGACUAAUCAUUUCUAUAUUACAAAAUAAAUACAAUUUGAAAGACAAUACCUAACAUUCCCUUAGUUUUUCAGCUUUUUAGUUUACCAAAAUGUGAAAAACAUCAAUUGGCACAGGUUCACCUCUAUUGUCAGAAUUUGAGAACAUAUUAACUAAAAAACGUGAAAAAAAAAUUAACUUCAUGUUGGGAAAGGAACCCACACAAGCAGUUACAAUUCUUUCUUUCUUUGCAUGAUUAAAAUAUGAUGUAUAUCACAAGUGAAUAAGUAAAAAUUAAAUUCAAUAUGAUUUGAGGUAAUAAAUUAAUCACAAGAGACAUAUAUUGUGACUUGGAAAGUCUAAAUCGUGAAAAACCAAAAAAUCAUAACUUGAUAUAACCUUCCACUACAUAAUUAAUGAAAUUUUAGAAUAAACCUUUUUUUAGAUGAUAUUAGAGACUUACAACAUCAAGAAUCUUAAAAUAUCAUGCGGAAGUAAAAGUUGUUUGCUUUGGGUUUGUAGUUUGUCUUUGCACUUGAUUGACUCGACAAAGAGUCUUUCACCUCGUCCUUCUCCUCACACACUUAGGGGCUUUGUGUUUUUUUUUUUUUUUAACUUAAUGACUUAAUUGACUUAAUUUUAAUCAGUUAAGUUAUUAGUCUGUUUGUUUUUUCAACUUAAUGAAGAUUUUCAACGAUUAAGUCAUUAAGUUAUUAAGCUAAUUUUUUUUAGCUUUUUACUUAAUCUAAAAAGUUUGAAUUCUAUCAUUAAAAGAUAUUUUCCAAAAUAUCCCUAUCUAAUUAAUUAAUUUUCAUCCUUAACUAAAUAAAAUUUAAUAAUUAGCAUUAUUACCCAUCUGUAUAUAACUUGUGAUAAUAUAUAGUGGUAAACUAUUAUUAUUUUUAUCUUUUUAUUUUGUUCAAAUUAGUAUUAUUUAUCUUCAUAAUUUUUUAUGAUAUUUUUCAUAUAAAGAAAUCACAAACUAUAACAAAAUUGAUUAACAUAUAUGAUAUAAAAAUAUUAAAGAGUUGUACUCAAUUGAAUAUGUUUUAUCUUAUGAUAAUUUAUUACCUUAUUUAUAUUCUUUGAGAUAUUUAUUAUUUGUUUAACAUUAUAAUUUGUAAGGACAUAAAUGUAAAAAUAUUAAUUUUCAGAUUUUUUAAGUUAAAAAACAAACAACUUAAUAUUUAUUUUUACCUCUUCAGACAAAAAAACAAAUAUGUCAUUGAAAUUCAGACAUUCAGCUUUAUUCAUAAUUCAGACUAAUUCAGGUUUAUUUAGAUUUCAGACAAAAAAAACAAACGCCACCUUAGUUACGAAGAUCACAACCAGAUCCGUUUUUGCAAUUGCUGAAAAACAAUUUUAUUAGCAAUUGGUUCUCGUGUUUCAACUUUAACUACUUUCGAUGUUGUUUAUCGGAAUUCAAAACAUAAAUUAUUGUUACAUUUUACUUUUGUUUUUUGUUUGUAAUUUAGAUUUGAAAUUUUGCAAGAGCAAUGUUAUUUCAAUAAAACUUUGAUUAAAAAAAAAGUAGAAGUAAUAGUAAUACUUCAAAAACGAUGUUAUUUUGGAUGUGUUUUUGUUACUUUUUUAAUGAAAACAUUGUUCAAAUAACAUUUUUCUUUUAUUUAAGAAAAAGAGCGGUCUCAUUGAUGGGCCAGCUGAUAACAAAAUGAAAAUAAUGAAUAGAUUUUAUUUCGUGACUGGGUGAAUGCUUUUCUAGUUUCUAUAAAUUGAGCUAAUUACCUAUUUAAAAUCUACCUCAUUAUUCUUUAAUUUUCACACGACUUGCUGGAGUUUUAAGUUACAUGCGACAAAAUAUGGUUUUAUAAUGAAAAUAUUAUUGACAAAGAUCUUUUGAUUAAUUUUUAAAAUUGCGAAAUGUAACUGGCUAAUUGAUUCAAGCUAUGGUGAUUAAGAAAAUCUUAUUUCAAUUUGUUUUUUUACCUAAUAAACUAAUGGAUCUGAUUUGGCUAACUAAAAUUUAACACAAGUAAUAACACAACACAACAUACCCAAAACUACUAUCAACAUGAGCUGUUUUCGAACCAAUUUGCUUCUUUUUUUUUUUUAAGGUAGGAGGGUGGACAAAGCUCGAAUCAAUUGUUUUAAUCCCCUAUCUUUACCGAGACUCAAAUUUGAGUGACCAAUUAAAUAAAGAUGGUUGAAAACUAUUCAGUUAAACAAUCAUUGAGGUGAAAAAUAUGAAAUAUAUAUUGAGUUGUGACCACAUAACCAAGGGGCAAACUACUAUGAUUUUGAGAAAAAAAAGUUUAAUUAAUUAUACAAUGUAAGGAAGACUAAAUUUUUAAUUUAUUUUUAAUUAAUUCAUUUGUGAAAUAAAAAAUAAAAAUAUCAUAUAUGCUAAUAUUUUUCAUAAAUAAAAUAAUGUUGUAAGGUUGUUUCACAUGUUCGGAGAAAUGCCUGAAUGACAUCGCGGACUCCGGUCUCAGGAUUAGUGGGUCCCAUUAUUUUUUAACCUUUUAUUUUAAUUGAAUAAGGCAUAAGAUGGCAACCACUUGAUGGUUAAUUAUAUAGUAGGUUUAACCUUUUAUAUUACUCUGCGCUAAUCACAGUAUAUCAACGGUUCAUGCGUGAAUAAAGUUUUUGGCUAUAUCUCAGUAUUUUGUCUUUAUAUUUGACUAACUCGACAAGCAGUCGUCGUUCACCUCGUACUGAUGAUACACUUAUUUUCCAAAGAUCGAAACCAGAUCUGUCAUUACACGAAUCGGCGUUGGACAGUAAUAAAAUCACUUUCUCUUUCAUUCAUUCCCUUAUUUUCAUCUUUUGCUACUUCUGGUCAUUGUUCUUUUUCUGUUAUUUAGUUUUGCGUCCUCAGUCCAUUAUUUUAAUCAUUUCUUAUUCUAUCAGCUCUUUGCAAUUGUUCAUUUAUUCUUGAUCUGGCUAGACACCCUUUUUCCUCUUUCCAUCUUCUAUCUGAUCUAGAAAACACUGCGCAUCGUUUUUCCUUUUUUUCCCGUUUUGUUUCCGUAUAUAACUGCUUGUCUAUUGCUGUAUCUUUGAUUUUUACUUUCCUUUGGCCUUCUUCACUUGUAAGUUGAUCGGUGUUCAUUUUGUUAUCCGCUUUUUGUCAAAACUGUCCGUUGUUGUUAGGAUUGAAGAUGGUGGAAAUCAUUGUCACUCUUGUUUUAGAGGUUGUAAAAUGCUUGGCCCCUCCAACAGAAAGCAGACUCCGUUAUUUGCGUAACUACAACGCCAACAUUGAGAGUCUCAAAGCUGAAAUGGAGAAGCUGAGGGAUGAAAGUACGCGCAUACAGCGUAGAGUUUCAGAGGCAAAAGCAAAAAGGGGAGGAGAUUGAAAGAGAAAGGUUAAAGAAGUGGGUGAUUUCUUACGGCCAAAGAUCAUUUGAUGAGGCCAGCCCAAAUUUCAUUGAAGAUGAAAGAGCAACAUAAUAAGCGAUGUCUCAAGGGGUCUGUGCCCUGAUUUCAAGACUCGCUACCAGCUCACCAAGAAAGCAGAGACAGAGCUGAAGGCCAUCGUUGAACUCCGGGAAGAAGCUGGGAGGUUUGAUAGAAUUUCCUACCGUACCUUUCCGGAGGAGAUAUGGCUUAAGCCUCACAAAGGCUAUGAGUCCUUCGAAUCAAGACUGUCUACUUUGAAGGCUAUACAAAAUGCUUUGUCUGAUCUAAAUGUGAGCAUCAUUGGGGUGUACGGCAUGGGCGGCAUUGGGAAGACGACACUGGUGAAAGAAGUUGCAAGAAAAGUGAAGGAAGAUCGACAAGCUCUUUGAUCAGGUGGAUUUUUCAGAGGUUUCCCAGAAUCCAAACAUAAAAAUAAUUCAAGGAGACAUUGCAGAGAAAUUGGGUCUUGUUUCUUGCGAAAAAGUUGAAACCAGAAGAGCAAAUAGGCUAUAUGAACGAUUAAAGAGGGAGAAGAAAAUCCUUAUAGUGUUAGAUAACAUCUGGAAACAUGUUGAUUUGGAGAGUAUUGGAAUUCCUUUCGGAGAUGAGCACAAAGGAUGUAAAGACUACUGACUGCAAGGCAUCGUAAUGUGCUGCUAAGUAUGGGAUAUAAAGAUAACUUUUUGAUUGGCAAUUUAAAUGAAGAAGAAGCUUGGAGAUUGUUAAAGAUGAUGAUGUUGAAAAUCUUAAGUUGAAAUCUACAGCAAUAGAUGUAGCCAAGGCAUGUGGAGGUUUGCCUAUUGCCUUGACUACAAUAGGAAGGGCAAUGAGAAACAAGAGUGUGCUUGAAUGGAAGAAUGCCUUGCGGGAACUCCGGAUCCGAACGCCUUCUGUGGUAAACUUCGAAAAGGUGAGCAUGUAACACACGUGCAUGCAAUUAGAGCGGUCAGCUGCAUGUUUGCUUGCUUCAAGCGGUGAUUAAAUAUUUAAAAAUUUGAGAGCUGCUUGCUUGAAUCGGUGGGCGCAUAUAAAGUGAAGUUUGAAGCUGCUCUUAUCAUUUUCACCAUUCAACCAAAAACAGUGCAAUUCGAAGGGAGAAGAAAAGAAAAGAAAAAGAGGGAAAAGAAGAAAACCGAGAGAAAAGAGAAGAGAAAAGAGAGGAAAAAGAAAAGAAAAAAAGAAAGGAAAGAAAGGCGGAGGGUGAGGGAAAAGAAAAAUAAAUAAUUAAGUUACGGAAAUUGAAAUUGGAUAGUUAGAAUUAUAUCCAUUGGAUCAGUGGGUAAUAGAUUUAUGAAAUUUAAGUAGUUAUGAUUUAAUUUACCUCCUAUGUAGUAGUUUCUAUAUCAGUUCUAACCGUUAAUUUUUUUUAAUCUUGUAUUUUAGGAGAAAUCUAAGAAUCUAGAGACCCACAACAGCCCCAACGAACCCUAGAGUGAAACCGAAUCUGUGAGUGGAUACUAUUAUUAUUAUUAUUAUGUAUUUUAUAAAACAUUUAUUUUUAAUAUUAUGAUUUAAUAUCAUGUUAUGAUUACAUGUACGCAUAUUAUAUGUUUAAUUGAGCCAUGAGAUGUGAUUGUCAAUCACCAUAUAUUUACCCUUCCUCGUAGACUCUGCGCAUACAUAUUGAGAGUUAGGUUACUCUACCUGUGCGAGAUAGUUUAAUUAUGCCGGGUAUUGAGAGUUUUUUCCUGCUCUACUCGUGCGAUGAUGUUCCCGACAAGUAUUGAGAGUUAUUCUCCCUCGAUACUGUUUGGUGCAGUUUGUGAUGUACGUAUGUAUGAAUUCCAUGUUUGCUGAUGUAUGAUAUUCAGUGUGGAGUUAUGUUACAUGAUUAUGUAUAAGCACCAGUACACAUACUUUAUUAUAAUAAUAAUUAUUAAUAUUUUUAAUAUAUAAUUACAUCCACUCACUGAGUCGCAAGCUCGCUAUUUUCCUAUUUACCCCUUUUCUCCUAGGAUUCCGCAGGAUUUUGUGCAGACCAAUUUCUAGUCAGUUGAGGUUGGCCCACGAGACGCAUUGCUGAAUAACUUGCAUUUUGAGGACGUUUAUGUUGCUUAUGUUUAUAUAUAUAGAUAUAGUUUUAGUGUGAGUAUGUAUAGUGAGACAUAAACUGUGCAAAUUUUGAAUGUAUAUUUUCGAAUGAGACACAGAGGUUGUUAUGUGCUUAUAUUGGAGACCAUGUUUAUAUAUAUAUUUUCAUGAAUUAAAUCUAUGCCAUGAGCUUUAUUUAGUAGUCCACACGAUUUACCUUACAUUUGACAUGUAGGUCAGGGCGGGUUGUGUCAGAGCAACUGAAGAAACGUUUUCUGCUUUAUACUCUAGUGGGAUAUUUUAUUUCAACUUCAUACUUUUCAAAUGCUGCAUGGGUUUGGGUAUACUUCAGAGAGCAAACAAGAUGGAAGAUGCAUAUAACAAAUUACAUGCGUUGCUUCAUGAACUUAAAGACUCUUGCUUGUUAGUUGAAGGUGAUAGCAAUGAAGUAUUUCGAUGCAUGACGUCAUUCGAGAUGUUGCUAUAUCAAUUGCAUGCCGAGACCAAAAUGUUUUUUUGGUGAGAAAUGAAGAUGUGUGGAAAUGGCCAAAUGAGGAUGCUCUAAAACAAUGUCAUGCAAUCUCUUUACUGAAUAGUAGUAUUCCUGAACUUCCUGAAGGAUUGGAAUGUCCGCAUCUUGAUUUUUUACUUAUGGUUUGCAAAGAUACGUUAAUCGAAACCAAUAUUCCUGAGAAGUUUUUCUCAAGGAUAAAGAAGCUUAAAGAUGUAGAUAUGGCAAGAAUGUGGUUAUUUUCAUUGCCAUCUUCUAUUGAUCUCCUAGUAAAUCUUCAAAUAUUAUGUUUACAUCAAUACAUGUUGGGAGACAUAGCCAUAAUUGGGAAGUUGAAGAAUCUAGAAAUUCUUAGCAUUUGGGGGCCUGAUAUUAAAACGUUGCCUGAAGAAUUAGGUCAACUGACUAAGCUAAGGCAGUUAGAUUUAGUUAAUUGUUUCCAAUUAAAAGUUAUUGCACCCAAUGUCAUAUCAAGCUUAAUCUGAUUAGAAGAACUCUAUAUGGGUAACUGCUUCAUUGAAUGGGAGGUUGAAGGACCCAAUUGUGAAAGAAGUAAUGCUAGCCUAGAUGAGUUGAUGCAUUUGCCUCGGCUGACUACUUUGGAAAUUGAAGAGAUUGGCAAGUUAUACAAACCAACUUGAGCAAUCUCUCCUAAGAUUACUAGAUCAUAUUCCCAAGAUAAAUUAAAGAUGAUAUGAACUUACAAUGAUUAUGAACAACUUAACAGGAAACAAUUAAAGAAAACUAAAAGAAACCUAAGAAAGAAUCCAGACACAGCAAGUUACGUGGUUCAGUCAAUUCAUCAUUGACCUACAUCCAUGGAGGAACAAAUUGAUCAGCUUUAUUGAUUGAAACAAGUCUCCUUUACACUCAGAGUUACAGAGCCAAGCUCAAGGAACAAUAAACCUCUCUUCUCACAAGCUUUCUCUCUCUUGAAUCCUCUGAAACCCUCUGUGUUUGUUACACUAGAAUCAGCUUAAGCUCCCGUGCUUAUAACAGCCCAGAAACUACCCCCAGCAACACACGUGAGAAGCAGAUGAUAUUAACGGCUUUAACAGCCUUCACACGUCAUUAAAAAACUCAUGUGCAUUGCUCGUGAUUCUUGUAACCAAAACGGUAGAAUCUUGGCUCAUUUAGAGUAAUGAUAUAAAGACAUUAUGAAACGCAGCUUACUGUAUUGUUUUUCUUUGUCAUCAAACACCAAAACGCAAAGCUUCCUGUAGUUUCCAUUAGCCUUUUUGAUUUAUUUCAUUCUGAUCUAACAUAACUCCACCUUGAAGCAAAUCAGUCCUGAUCAUAUUUUCUCUUCAGCUCUCUAUCUCCUCAGAGGCUACAAACACCAGCCAUAUUCAAGCAAGCUUUGAACUUGGCUUUAAGAACAACUUUUGUAAGCAUGUCUGCAAGAUUAUCAUUUGUAUGAACCUUUACUAUCUUGAUUACACCUUUUGAUACUUCAUUUAUGAUAAAGUGUAGCUUAACAUCAAUAUGCUUGGUUCUUUCGUGAUGAGCUGGGUUUUUACUCAAGUAGAUAGCACUUAAGCUAUCACAGUGGACUUCAACUGUUUUUUGACUUAUCCCCAACUCUUCAAUCAUCCCUUUAAGCCACAAAGCUUCUUUGACUGCCUCUGUGGCUGCUGUGUAUUCAGCCUCUGUUGUUGAUAAAGCAACAACAUGUUGGAGACUUGCCUUCUAGCUGAUAAUGCACCCAUUGAGCAUAAACAUGUAACAUGUUAAUGAUCUUCUUCUGUCAUGGUCCCCAGCAAAAUUUGAGUCUACAUAACCCCACAAGCCACCAUUUAUCCCUUAUGAUCUUCCAUACAACAGUCCAUGUUUUUCUGUGCCAUUCAGAUACUGUAGUAUCCACUUGACUCUUGCCAGUGCUCCUUCACAGGUGUUGCCAUAUUUCUGCUAACAAUGCUUAGAGCAUGAGAAAUAUCAGGUCCUGUUAAGACCAUAGCAUACAUCAUACACCCUACAAUAUUGGCAUAUGGAAAUUUUGCCAUUUCAUUUUUUUCUUCAUCUGUCUUAGCACACUGCAGAUUUGAGAGCUUAAAAUAGGAGGCUAGUGGUGUCAUUACAGUCUUACAAACUAACAUACCAAAGGUCUUAACUAUCUUCUUCACAUAAUUCUCAUGUAACAGACAGAUAGUACCUCUUUCUUGUUCCUUCUUAUAUCCAUGCCUAAAAUCUUCCUGGCAUAUCCUAAGUCCUUCAUAUCAAAUUCUGAACUGAGCAACUUUUUCAAUUCUUCAAUCUCAUCCCUCAACUUACAAGCAAUCAACAUAUCGUCUACAUAUAGCAGCAAGUAUAUGUAAAGAUGUGUCUCGAGGAGCUUGUAGUAUACACAACAAUUAAAAAUGUAUCUUUUGAAUCCAUUUGUUGUAAUGAACUCAUCAAACCUGAGAUACCACUGUCUUGGGGAUUGUUUUAAACCAUACAGUAAUUUCUUUAACAAACACAUAUGUUCUGGUCUCUCUGGAUCCACAUAUCCCUCUGGUUGAACCAUCAGAAUUUCUUCUUAUAAUCUUCCAUGCAAGAAAAAAUUUUGACAUCGAGUUGAUCAAGCUCCAUGUCAGAAAACUGCUAUCAUGGCUAAUAAUACUCUGAUUGAAGCAUGUCUAACUACAGGUGAAAAAAAUUCUUUAAAGUCAACCCCUCCCCUUUGAGUGUAGCCCUUGGCCACUAACCUAACUUUGAAUCUCCUAGGUUCUGUAGCUGUCAGACCAUCCAUAAUUCUGUAGAUCCAUUUACAACCUAUGAGUUUUCUAUUGUUAGGUUUUAUUACCAGCUCCCAUGUGUUGUUUUUAUAGAGGGAUGAUAUUUCUUCAUCCAUUACCUGCUGCCAAUCAAUUUUGUAUGAGCUUUGCAUUGCUUCUUUAUUACUCCUUGGUUCUUCUUCAUCAAUCUCUCGUAAAGUGCCAAGUGCAUAUGCAAUAAGAUCUCCAUAACCAAACCUCUCUGGGGGUCUUAUCACUCUUCUUUCUCUGUCUUUAGCUAGAUGAUAAUCUUCUAUAUAAGGUCUUGGAUGUUCUGAGCUUGUGUCCACAUCACCAGCAAUUUCUUCAUCUGAAUCUGCAGCUUCACUUGAAGUUUUAUUUGCUGGAUGCUCCACCUCAAACUGUAUAGUGUCAUCAGUUUUACUCUGAGGUUCAGCAUUUUCAACUGACUUCUCUUUACUUAGCACCAACUGCUCAUUAAACACCACAUCUCUACUAACUAUACAUUUAUGAGGGGACAAGUCAGUACACCAAAUCUUAUAGCCUUUCACCCCCUCUGGAUAACCUAUAAACAACCCUUUUAGAGCUCUUGGUGCUAAUUUUCCUUGGUUUGCAUGUGCAUAGUCAGUACAACCAAACACUUUUAGCUUACUGUAGUCUGUUGGUUUACCACACCACUUUUCAUGUGGUGUUUUAAAAUCUAAUGCUAAGGAAGGGCUCAGAUUAACUAGCAAGCAAGCUGUCAGUAGAGUCUCUGCCCAUAAUCCUUUUGGUAACUCUAACUGUAUCAUCAUGCAUCUGACCUUGUCCAUCAAAGUUCUAUUCAUCCUUUCAGCCAAACCAUUUUACUGUGGUGUAAGCCUCACUGUUCUGUGCCUAGCAAUGCCUUCACCUGAGCAGAAUUGAUCAAACAUAUGAUUACAGUACUCUAGUCAAUUAUCAGUUCUAAGAACUUUCAGCUUCUUCCCUGUUUGGUUUUCAACAAGUACUUUCCACUUCUUAAACCUCUCAAACACCUGAUCUUUGGUUAUAGUACAUACACCUAAACCUUCCUAGAGUAAUCAUCUAUUAUGGACAUGAAGAACCUAUUCCCUCCUAAAGAUAGAACCUGUGAAGGUCCCCACAGAUCUGAAUGCACAUAGUCCAGGAUACUUUUGGUUUUAUGAACAGAUUUCUUAAAGCUAGUUCGUGUGGAUUUCCUUAGAACACAAUCCUCAUAAAAAUCUAGUUCUUCAAUCUUGUCAGCCCCCAAAACCCCUUGUUUUUCUAAUUCUUUUAGACCAUUUAGGCUUAUGUGUCCCAACCUCAGAUGCCAAAGCCUGGUGUUAUCAGCAUUAGUCUUAACAGGCACACUGGAUUCACCAGUCACUACUUCCCAAUUCAAGACAUAAAUCCUAUUUUUUUCUUGUGCCUUUUAUAAUCAGUGUUGAGCUAUUUAGGAUUUUUAAUUCACCACACUCUAAUUUCAUACUACAUCUUAUUUAGUCAAGCAUCCCCAAAGAGAUUAAGUUCCUUUUAAGGUCUGGUACAUGUCUGACCUGUCUUAUUAGCCUCACAGUCCCAUCAUGUAAUUUUAUAUGUAUGUUUCCCAUCCCAAUGACCUUACACACUGCAUUGUUUCCUAUCAUUACCAUUGCCCCGUCAUAUUCAUGGUAAUCAGAAAAAUAACUCUUUACAAGACUCAUAUGAAAGGUACAACCAGAAUUAAUGAUCCACUUACUUUUCUGCACAUCCUCAGUUGCCACACACACUCCAGCUGAUUCAUAUCCCUCAUCUUCAACUAUGGCUGCAUCUCCAUUAUGUUCUUUCUUAUUAUAUUUCUUCUCAGGGCAAUCUUUCUUGAAGUGUCAUUCCUUGUGACAUUGAAAACAUUUUAAUCUCUUGUUUUUGCUCUUUCCUUUUCCCUGCUUCUUUUUCUUUCCAUCAUUUCUGUCAUUUCUGACUUUCAUAAUUAAUCCCUCUCCACUCUCCAUGUUAACUUGCUUUUCUUGUAGGCCUCUGGUAUUCAAUGCAACCUUAACCUCAUCUAGAGAGAAGGUUUGUCUGCCAUACAUCAGAGCAUCCACAAAAUUGGAGUAUGACUAUGGUAAGGAACUUAUUAGAAGUAGAGCUUUGCCUUUAUCAUUCAAGCCCUCAUCAAUGGUCUCCAAAGUGUCACAAACUUUGUUGAACUCAUCAAUAUGUUCCUCAAGAGAGGAUCCUUCAACAAUCUUUAAUGAAAACAUCCUCUUCUUGAUAUAGAGCAUGUUUGCCAAUGACUUUGUCAUGUACAGAUUCUCAAGCUUUGCCCAUAGCUCUGCCACUGUUUUCUCCUUUGCCACUUCUCUAAUAACCGAGUCACUCAAGCUCAGAAUUAUUGUACUUCUUGCUUUCUUGUCGAUUUUAGCAGCUAGUUCUGGAGAUUUUAAUUAAGACACCUCUUUUCCUUAUUCUUGGUUGUUGGUUAUAUGGCAUCACCUAGGCCUUCUAUAAUUAACAAUGCCUCCAUUUUUACCUUCCACAUAUUAAAGUCAUUCUUCCCAUUAAAUUUUUCAAGAUCAACUUUAGGCGCAACCAUACUUGUAUCUGAUCAAGAAACCGAGCUCUGAUACCAAUUGAAGAGAUUGGCAAGUUAUACAAACCAACUUGAGCAACCUCUCCCAAGAUUACUAGAUCAUAUUCCCAAGAUGAAUUAAAGAUGAUCUGAACUUACAAUGAUUAUAAACAACUUAAUAGGAAACAAUCAAAGAAAACUAAAAGAAACCUAAGAAAGAAUCUAGACACAGCAAGUUACGUGGUUCAGUCAAUUCAUCAUUGACCUACAUCCACGGAGGAACAAAUUGAUCAGCUUUAUUGAUUGAAACAAGUCUAUUUUACACUCAGAGUUACAAAGCCAAGCUCAAGGAACAAUAAACCUCUCUUCUCACAAGCUUUCUCUCUCAUGAAUCCUCUGAAACCCUUUGUGUUUGUUACACCAGAAUAAGCUUCAGUUCCCGUGCUUAUAACAGCCCAGAAACUACCCCUAGCAACACACGUGAGAAGCAGAUGAUAUUAACUGCUUUAACAGCCUUCACACGUCAUUUAAAAACUCACGUGCAUUGCUCGUGAUUCUUGUAACCAAAACAGUAGAAUCUUAGGUCGUUUAGAGUAGUGGUAUAAAGACAUUAUGAAACGUAGCUUACUGUGCCAUUUUGCUUUGUCAUCAGACACCAAAACGCAAAGCUUCCUGUUGUUUCCAUUAGCAUUUUUGAUUUGUUUCAUUCUGGUCCAACGGAAAUAGAUGUUAAAAAUGACAACAUCUUACCAGAUUUCUUUUUUGCCAAAAAAUUGGAACGGUUCAAAAUUUCAAUAGGAGAUGGGUCAUUCGAUCUUAUUUGCUUUAAAGAUUGGUUCAAAAGUCGGCCGCAAUUUUUGAUCGGUAAUCAUGAGAGUUUAAGAACGUUAAAACUCAAGCUUAGUUCUAAACCUAUUUGCUCAAAGAAAAUACAGGGCAUCAACAACGUUGAAUAUUUGUGUUUGGACAAGCUGCAAGGUGUCAAAAAUGUUCUUUUUGAUUUGGACACAGGGGUUUUCUACAAUUGAAGCAUCUCUUUGUUCAAGAUAAUUCAGACUUAUUUUGUAUUGUUGACUCAAUGGCGAAGGUGCCUUGCGAUGCCUUUCCUCUUUUGGAGUCACUUACUCUUCACAAUUUGAUUAACUUGGAGAGGAUAUGUAUUGAUCGCCUCAAAGUAGAUUCUUUCAAUGAGCUAAAAACCAUAAAAGUAGAAAGUUGUGAUGAGGUGAGUAAUAUCUUCUUGCUGUCUACUACAAAAUGCCUUCCAAGACUUACAAGCUUAAUUGCAAAAAGAUGGAACAGAUUUUUGCAAUUGGUGGUGAAGCUGAUGUCGUCACUGAGGGGAUAUUUGCUCAGAUAAGCUGUUUGAGCCUGGGAAAUCUUCCCCAGCUUACAAGCUUUUGCCGUGAAGUUAAGAGACAUUCCAUUUCAUCGAAUACAAAAGAUUCGCAAGACCAAUCGAUGACAGCUAUUACAUGUUCCUACGAGGUAAAUUUGGAGGAUAAGCUUGAUACUUCAACAACGCUUUUCAAUGACAAGGUAUGCUAACAAUUUCUUGUUCUCUAUCAUCUUAUUCUGUCGUGCUUCCCAUUUUGUCGACAUAUAUGUAGAAAAUAAGUCAUUUAGAGAAAAAGAAAAAUGAGAAAGGAAAUACAAAUCUCACACACGCCCUAAGCUCUCAACAUAUAACGUGAAUUAGUUUGCACUCACUCAGCUGUCACUUGCUUUGACUUGCAUUUGCAAUCAAAGAAGAUCAUUCUGACAGAUGCGUCUCAUAUGAUAUUGUAUCUAACAAAAACUUUAUAAUUAGGUUCGGUUACCCAAAUUGGAAGCUUUGGAGCUGCAUGAAAUUAAUGUCGAAAAGAUUUGGCGCAGUCAAGUUCCUGCCAAGUUUCCUCGCUUUCAAAGUUUAACACGAUUGGUCGUGUCGAACUGUCAUAAGCUAAAAUACCUAUUUUCAGCUUCUAUGAUCCGAAGUGUUGAGCAGCUCCAACACCUGGACAUAUGCUUGUGUAAGGGUUUGCUGGGGAUCAUCUCUGAAGACACAGCAAUUCAAGUGACCCCUUGUUUUGUCUUUCCACGGGUGAGCACUCUAAGACUCAUAGAUUUACCAAAACUUAGAUUUUUUUACCCUGGAAUGCAUACUUCGGAAUGGCCGACACUGCAAAGCUUGGAAGCAACCGGUUGUGACAAUUUAAAGAUAUUUGGUUCAGAAUUAUCUAGCUUCUGUGGAAAUAUAUAUUGAGGAGAAUCAACUUCAUAUCCCGGCGCAACAGCCCUUGUUCUUGUUCGAAAAGGUAUGAAAAAAUUUCUACACCUUUUAUUAGUUGAGUCGUCGUUUCUUACUUUCUAAGCGGAGUCUUCUUAGCGAAGAAUCGCACAAGAUUUUUAGCGUGAAGCCAAAGCUCCAUUUCAAGUUUUCAUUGUGAAAUAAAAGUUACUGAAGAGUGCAGUAGUAUGAUUUUCAAAUAAUUAACUUGAUAUGCAAUCUUAUAAUGACUUAGCUAUCAAGACAUGCCUAGAAUAACAUUCAUAACCGCCUACGUGAUCUUACAACUUAGCUAGUAAUUCCUUGGUUAAUUACUUUGCGUUUUGUGCUUUAUUUUUAGUUUUUCUUCUUACUUAUUAUAUACGCUAAUCGAAUAAUGAAACCACCAGUUGUGAAUGUAUGCACAAUCCUCUCUAAAUCAAAAUGCAUAAGAAAAGCACACGCUUGCUAAUGUAGCAUCUUGGCGCUCUGACACCCACAAACCUUACCACCAAUCUAGGGUUUAAUAUGAUAUGGCAUUUUCUCAAAUUGAGAUUAGGAUAAGGGUUAAUAAUAUGAUUUUUGAAUUUUCCUAAUCUAAUAUAUUUUUAGUUUAGGUAAUUUUUGUUUAUAGUAAUGUACAUAUUUUUUAAUUUUUUUAAUUUACAACAGUAAACCUUAUACAGCAAAAGUCAAGAGAGUGGUUGAUGAUUUGGGGGUAAAGUAGUAAAUUAAUUAAUAAAACAAAUAAAUUUAACGGCAUUUAUUUGGAAGCAGUGCAAUGACGGAAUUGAUUAACUUAGUGACAUCCUCCGCAGCAAAAGGUCUAGUGCGACUCGUAACACUGAGGGUAUUUGAAUGCAGUGCAAUGACACAAGUGGUAACAAGCGAUGAAGAUGGAGGAGCAAAAGACGAGAUUGUUUUCAGUAAAUUGAAGACAUUGUCUCUGCUUGAUUUAGAUAGCCUCACAAGUUUCUGCUCUAGCAAUCACACCUUCACAUUCCCAUCUUUGCAAUAUUUAGUUGUGACUGGUUGUCCCAAUUUGAAGAUUUUCGCUGUAGGAGAGUUAUGCACGCCGCCGAGAGUAGACAUCUGGUGCACGGCGAAAGGUGAUGGACAUCAUUGGGCUAUUGAUCUUAACACAACCAUACAACAAUUACAUGCAGAAAAAGUAUGGUUAUACAUCUCACUAACCUAACUAUCUCCCAUUAAAAAUUUUACAAAAUUUGCAACUUUUAACAAAAUGGAGAAAACAUGUCAUUGAUGAUUAAGUUUGACCCAUUAGUAUCUUUGUUAUAAGUAAGUUUGUAAUCACGUUUUGAAACAUGAGAGUGUUUUGUACUUAAUUCUUGAAAGAAUGUCCUGUUUAGAACUGACAUUUUUACAAAAGUUGGAGAACCUUAUUCAAUUAUCAACAAUUCAUGAACCAUUAGUCAUAAUUUCAUAAUAUGAGAAUUUUAUUUUCUGCUGUUGGAGGGGCCGUCCCUUUUCUCAACGAAGUAAGAUAUGUGCUGACUGCACAGGCCAUUUUUAUUUAUUACUUGGAGUUGUAAAUUCGAGGACUAAUAUCCCUGGUAAUUAAUUUUUAUUUCAUUUAUUUGCUCUCAUGGCUUGUUUCAUCAUCUAAAUUAUGUGGAAUGCGUCUUGGUGGUUAAUUUUGGAAUGAAGUUUUUAAUGUUUCGGUCAGGGCUUUAUGAGCAAAUUUUGCGUCAUUGAAUGUCAUUUGAUCAAAGGGCAAGGUUUAGUGAUUUUCAAGCAGUUUUAUUCAACUGGUUACCUGAGUUCGAAUCUUAAAGAGAUAAAUAGUUAAAAAUGAAUUUAGACUUUGCCUACUCCUUUAAGAAAAAAAGAAGGUCAUUUAGUCUUAACUUUUGAAAAUUUUGUUUGACAUUUCGGCUCUAUAGCAUGCGAUUUAUUUUCUUAAAUUUUAUAAUUCCUUGAGAAUGUGCAAACAUUUUAUGAUAAAAUUACUUUAAAAUGUUGUUGAAACGAACUGAACUUUUUAUGUUGAAAGAAAGCCUUAUUAUUUUUCUGUACUUCUAUGUAAUGCUUUAUGGUUACAAAAUUCUCAUUGUUAUCACUCUUCUUGUGCAAGAUCUGUAAUGAAAGAUACUUUUUUGUGAAAUUUGUGUUCCUGAUAUUAAAAGUUCACAUGCUGGGGGGCUUCCUAUUUCAUCUUUGUCAUUCUACUUGUGCUUCGCUUCAUUGUGUAGCUACAGCAUUAUAAGCGUUACCAUAACUUAUCUGCAGCAAUUUUGUAAUUUACUAUUAUUGUGGUUGUUGCUGCUGUCAUUGUUCUACUAGUUGGAAAAUUCGAAUUAUGAUGCAGAGAAAUGACAGAAGCUGUAUUAAGUGACGAAGAUUGAGCAGCAAAACAAGAGAUAGUUUUCAGCAAAUUAAAGACGUUGGCUCUGUUUGAUUUAGUUAGACUCACAAGUUUCUGCUCUGGCAAUUGCACUUUCAAAUUCCCAUCCUUGCAAGAUUUAACUGUGAUUGGCUGUCCCAAGAUGAAGAAUUUUACGAGAGGAGAAUUAUGGAUGCCAUCUAGUACGGAGAGAGAGAAGAUGAAAGGCGUUGGGCUAAUGACCUUAACACAACUGUUGAUGCGAGAUUCUGGUUGCCCUCUUUCUACGACCAGGAUAUCUGCUCGAUCAAUAACACCUCGAUCAGGAUCUCUCCUCGUAUGCUUUCUUCUUCAAAUAUUCCUGCGUCCACAAAAACAAGUCAGAGCACGCCGGUUGUUUUCCCGGCGUAAACCCUCCGACGCUCAAGUCAGAUCUGAAGGUUCUGGGAACACUUGCCACAAAUCUUAUGGCUUUUCUGUAGUUUCUAUUCUUUAGAGCUUUCUUUUAUCUUUGUUAUAAUCUCAAAAUUGCUAACCCUUUUACCUCCGCUGGCUACCUUUUUAUAGGCUUCCUCUGAAUCCCGGUCUUCCGUAGUCCACGCCCAUUAUUCUCCCCACCCUCGGAUGUGGAUGCCCCAUUGUCGUCAUUGUGGGUGAAUGGAGAUGGACUUCGUGCCUUGAUUCUCGGAUAGGAACGCACGUCUUGCCAACUGUCGUCGACCGGGUCUCCUCGCCUCGACCCCUAGCAGGAAUGGCCUUAUGACUCUAACAGGAGUUCGUCCUCGUGAAUGGAAUAUUCGUGGACGAGCAGAAUAUUCCUGCUCCUGUUCCCCUGCUACCAGGCUCUUACAAGACAUACCUGUUCGCAGAACUCUGCCACCAAAUAUCCGCUCAUCACGUCUGGUCUCGUCGAAGUAUUUCCCUCAAACACCGGUCCCCCAGUUUCUGGUGUUGGGUAAUGUAAUGGACCAGCAGUAGAAACUCAGCAGUUCUUGCUCGCGUGGGACUUGAAAAGGCUGCCAAGAGUCGUGUCGCAUUUAAUUGCGGAUGCAGUGAUGUGGCAGAAACUACCCCUUCAUUUGAAUUUCAAACCUACGAUUGCAAGAUUCUCGGAAUAUGCGUCAUUAAAUGCUGGCAGCCCAAGAGUUUGCUUCUCAGUAAGAAAACCCAAAAUCCUCAAACACGAACUCGUCAUUUUCUCCAUUCUUGUCUCUCCGGCGAAUGAACCUCGGCAUUAAAGCUUUCAUCCAUGUCUCUCUCUGAGAGAGUCCCUGCUUCAGGUAUUUCUUCUAUUUUCCCAGUCUUGGUUAGUUGUAGAUAAUUUCUUUUCUCUUUGCUUUGCUUGGGGUAGUAUUUGGUAGUGGUGUUUUGGUUAUAACCUAGGGAAUGUCGAAGGGUAAGGAGAAAGUCAUUGAGAUUGAUGACGACGAACUAGGUUCCUUGCCUAGUCUGCUCACCGAUCCUGCUUUUGACCCCGGGAUCCCCUUGGAACCCAUUAGGUCUGGUGUCGGGACUAGUACUAGGAGGAUGUCCCCCCAAACAACCUCCACGAGCGGAAGUAGUGGUAAGGAGGGAUCUUCUGGCUCGGUAAACACCCUAAGUGAGGAUCGAGGAGGUGACUCUGGUGAGGGAUCUUCACCAGGAACAUCGCGACCAGAAGGGCGGAGCACAGUAGGGGGUAGAGCCUUGUCUCGGGAUUAUGCCAUUGAUUAUAUGACGUGCACGACCACGUUUGACGAGCUCAAUGACCUCCGACUUAGGUAUAGUAUUCCUGGUGAGAUACCUCUUGAGAUCCCAGGAAAAAAGGAUACACCUAGCCGGCCUCCUAGGGGAUAUGUUACCCUAUUUCUGAAGAGCUUUAAAUAUGGGCUGAGGUGUCCCUUGCAACCCUACUUUGCCCGGAUACUCAACGGGCUAAAUCUGGCUCCUGGUCAGCUAAACCCCAACGGGUGGAGAGUGCUCUCUGGUCUGUUCAUAUUGUGGGACAGAUGUUGCCAAAGCGAGCCCACGGUUGAUGAGGUGAAGCACCUGUACCAGCUAAAGAGCAGCCCCAAAGAUGCCGGCUGGUACUACUUCCAAUCUAGCACCAAGAGCAGGAAACCCAUAACUGAUCUUCCAACUGGUGGUGGUGGGACUUGGAAGAGAAAUUUCUUUUUUGCUGGGGCUCCUUGGGGUCAGGUUGCACAAAUGGAUGGGAAGGAUUAUCGCGUCCCACCCCGUUUCACGGUCCUAGGUUGCCUGCUCGCUUUAGAUGUCUUGUACCCAUAAUUGUUCUCGCUUUAUUGGUUUGUCUCUAACCAAGUGUCUGCUUGUAUUGCAGGUUCUUGGGGUGUUCACUUCCCGCUCCAACCUGAUCAGCUCAAACGGGUCGAGGCUGUACUAGCCAACUCCUGCUCGAGCCGAGAACUGAUAACUGUUUACAACUUGCUUGAGUCUCGCUUGGUACUCCCUGGCCAUAAGAUGGAGGACGCUGUGAUUGGGGCUUUGAAUAGGAAACGUUCUCGACCUCAAACCACGAAGAGAGACCAGAACAAGGACGCCCCUACGGCAAAAGCGGGCCAACAUCGUGCAGCAAGUCUCUCCCUUGAAGACUUUACCUCCUGCUCCUGCCAAAGUCGGCGAAACUAGUGGAGCAGCCAGAAAUCCUGCUUCCUCUUCUCCUCCUGUCGGGCCUCGAUCUCGCUUACCUGAUAGCCAUGCAGUAUAGCACUUUCCAUCUCAGCUGCAUGACCACCUAUUAUAAGGCUAAGGUUGGCCGUUAUGCCAGGAAGAUGAAGGAGGACAUUCAAUCAGCGAUGACCAGAGCUGACGCCGCCGAGAAGAAAGCAGGAGAGCUGAAUGUCGAGAACCUGAAGCUGAUAGAGCAAGAAUCUCUUGCUCAAGCAAAAGCCAUUACCCUCGAGGAGGAGCUGACUAAGGUCAAUGAGGAUCUUCAAAGGCAGAAGGCUAUGUAUGAGGCUCAGCUCGAAUCUCUCCGCGAUUCCCACCGAGCUCAGGUCGAGAACUUGGAGAAGGAGGCCGACAACCAGUACGACCAGGGACUUCGGCAUUCCUAUCGUUGCAUCAUGGCCGUCCUCGGGAAGCAGCAUCCUGAUCUGAAGAUGGAUGACCUUGCAGCUGGUGUUGCUCAACAUAUGGACGAGGAGGCGGCCAAGGAAGAUGCCGAAGGGGUAGAGGCGAUCGUGAUUGAGGAGGAAAACUCUCCUCCUCAUGUAGUCCCUGCUGACGUUGGCGAGGUGAGCACCCCCUCAAACAACAACCAUACAACAAUUACAUGCAGAAACGGUAUGUAUAAUUCACUAUUCUAUCUCCAAUGGAAAGCUUUUACAAAAUUUGCAGUUUUUUAACAAAACGUAGAAAACUGAUCAUUGACAAGUAAGUUUGAUUCAUUAGAAUAUUUGCUAUUACUUUUGUAUUUAAUUCAUGAAACUGUCCUAUUUAAUAUUGACAUUUUCACAAAAGUUAGAUAAUGUUUUUCAAUUAUCACAAAUUCGUUAAUAAUUAGUUUUAAUUUCAUAAUAUGAAAAUCUUGUCAAAGAAAUUGUGUUAUUAAACUUAUUAAAUCUCUCGCUAGUGGCUUCCUUCCUAAUCUCCAUGUGCUUUAGUAUUUAUUUCCAAGUGCCUAAUUUUACAACUUUUAAUUUAGAUUAAUGAAUGACAAUUCUUAUUUUUUCAGGUGUUGGAGGGGCUUUCAUCUUAGUCGACUUUAUAAAAGUAAUCUGAUCAAAUACAUCUUAGUACUUGGAUAAGAUGUGAAUUUGAAGAAUAAAGAUCGCAGGUAACUAAUUUUAUUACUUAUGUACUUUUCUCAUGGUUUUGUUUCAUCGUUUCAUCUAAACUCUUUGGAAUGCGUUAAUUUUGUUUGUUGUUAAUUUGGAACGAAGUUUUAAUGUAUCAUUCAGGGAUUUUGUUUGCAUCAUUGAGGAUUGUAAUGCCUUAACUUCUGAGGUUUUUGACAUUCAGCUUUAUAUUGUGCUAUUUUUCGUAAUUUUAUAACUCCUUGAAAGCAUGCAUAUAUUUUUUUUUCUUAUCAUGAUGCCUCGAAAAUGCCAUUAGAAGGGACAGCAGUUUUUCUUAUUUACUUUCUUUAUCAUGUGUUUUACUUUUUAUUUUCAAGUAUCUACGUUUCCGAAUUUUAGUUCAACUUAUUGAAUGGGAAUUUUGUUUUCAGCUACGUACAAGACGAUGCCGCUGCUGCUGCCAUUGUUACUGAUAUAAUUACUAUUACUCGAAAAUUUCAAGUAAUUUAGUUGUGAAAUUCAUUAUGUUAUAGAUAUGCAAAAUAUAUAUGAUGCUGAAAAGAGGGGACUUGUUGUCUCAGUUUGUUUCAUUUUGUUUUCUCCAAUUCUAAUUUCCAAAUUUUAGAAAUGUGGUAAGAGAAGGAACAAAAGGAGUAAAAAAUUUGUCAAAAUAGAUGUAGCUAUGAACAAUUAUAUCCAAACACAUUUAGCAUCAAUCUACUUUGCCAAUUUUUUAUUGUCAUCAUCUUUGCUCUGUUGUUUUAGUUUUUGCUCUGUUUAUAUUGAUUGAGUUUGCUUUACAAAGUCUUAUCUUUCAAAACUUAGAAGGCAAGGAAAGAGUGGGUAGGAAAUGCAAGAGGUAUCAAAUCAUGCAUAUGGUCAAAUGCUCCUGCACAUGAACACAUAAAGAACAAUUGAAAUAUCAUUCAUCGGAUAACACAAACAAAAAAAAAAAAAAAAAGAAGAAAGAAAGAGAGAAAUGUAAUCGUCUCAUUAUCCCGAAUACAAAUCAUUAAACCAUCAAAUGUUUGCAAUGAGCACAAUCUGAUCAUCUCUUUGGAAUAAUUAGAUGUUGGCUGGCCUAUUUUUUGGCCGGGAAAAGGUUUUUGGCUGGUGGCUGCUCCAUUUGGGUCUAUAUCAAUUGAUGCCACUAUGUCAAUAAUAAUUGGUAGGAAAUAAAUUAAUAUCUAACUAUAUCUUCUUAAUUAAUUAUUUGUUUUUUAUCCAUUUGCAGUGGAAAAAAGGGGUGCAGGUUCAGGAAGCUUCUUAGACGUGGGUCGCGUCAAGCUGGGCAGGUCAACAUCAUUUACAAGUGGGAACAGCUCUUUCUAAUAAAAGAAAAGCCUUUUUUGUUUUAAAAUAAAGCUUUUUUUUCUUGUUUUAUGAUUCACCCCCAAGUCAUUCUAUUGUGACUACAUACAAAUUAAUAAAGAGGGUUGUGGGGUUGCUGCAUAGAAAUUGUUGAAUAUAUACAAAUUAUUGAACAGAAAUCCAAUAAUUGAACACCGGCCAAUUCCUGUCCAAUCAAAUUAAAACUCAAUUAAUAUAUUCCACUAAAUUUUUCAUACAACAUCCUAUUCAGAUGAAUAAAAUGUAAAAAAUAAAAUAUAUAGUUCAAAAAAUUGUAAAGGAUGCAAUUUAGCAGGUCAUACAAUAUACCAAAAAAAGUCUUGGGGGUGCAGUAGGAAUAUUUCUUGAUAGAAAGAGUCUUAAAAAAUUUUUCGCCAGCAAACAUUUUCGCUCUCUGAUCUCUGUAUUCUUCUGAUCCUCCUCCUUGCUUGAACGUCUGUAACUUUGUCAUCCAUGAUUUGCAUUCAAUUCUUGACCAAAAAACCUUUUUCCGGAUUUUCAUCUUUUGAUCUCAAACAUGCUUUGCUUCUGUUGAUUGUGGUCGCUUUUAGUGCUAGUUCUUUUCUUAUAUUGCUUUGUUCCCUUUUGCCAUAAGUUCUUUGUUAGGAAAUUAGUGGGUGAAACAGGAUCGCAGCUAAAAUAAAAUUAGAAGAAAUAAAGAACAAGUACAAAAGAGAAUACUAGAAAUUAUGUAGUUCGAAUUUUAGUCUACGUCCACGGCGAAAAUAGAAGGAAAUAUUUUACUAGUGAAAUAAGGAUUACAAAUAUUGUAAUAUUUUGGCUCACUACCCAAAACUCCAACAAACUCAAUCUCUCACUCACGACACAAGAGUAUUAAAACUCUUAAUCUCUCACACAACUCUUUCUCUUUUACAAAACAGAGAAGAGAAACUUAAAGAAAAAAAAUGGAAUGCAAAAAUGAGGGUGGGAAGUGUUGAGUGUUAGAAAAUGCAUAUUUAUAAAAUAGAAAACCGUCAUUUUACAUUUCAAGUUUUACUAACAACCCUUACUUUUAUGUAUUUAAACUUCUUGUGAUUUAAUUACAUGUGUUUUAUUUUAAUUAAGUAUUUUAUGUAUUUAGGGGCAUUAUAGUCAUUUUACAAUAAAGGAGAGAUCAGACGGUAAAACGGACAUCACUUUUGAACUCAGGACGGUCGAAAACCUUAGGAGGAGCAUAAAAGGGAAAACGGCACUGUUUACAUGUACGGUACUAUUCACGUGUACGGUUUACGACACUGUUCAAAUAGACGGAUCGAUGACGUGGGAUUGACCGAUGAUGUGGCAUUGACUGAUGAGGUGUCACGAUCCUGUUGGGCUAAAAUUCUUAUGUACUGUUGGUGGUGACGUGGCAGCAUAUCAGUGGACGAAAAAUCUCGCGUACGGUACAUGCAUCACACAGGAUUAUUGUCAACCAAACCGCGUUACUGUUCAUUCGGGUCAAACCGUGUUACUGUUCAUCCACGUGGUCAAACCGCGUACUGUUGACUGAUGACGUGGCGCAAUCCUGAGCGUCCAAACUGUUUUUAAUCCGAUGGUCAUGAUUUACUCCAUGUAUCUAUAAAAAGGGGCCUCUCCCCCCUAAUUUGAUAGCUCCGAAUCCAUUUUUUGGAUCCAUUUUCUGUAAUUCCUUCUCCAUCUUGUAUUUUCUACGUAUUUUAAUAAAUUCCUAUUUUGCCCCUAGUUCAAUUAUGAGUAGCUAAUUUUCUUUCAAGCUUGGGUUGAAGGUGAAGUCUCAACAUGUGUCAUGGGCUUUAUUUGGUAAAUUUAUUUUCUCUUCUCCUCUAGUUUUUGUGGAUGUUUUGACUUCUCGUCGACAAAUAAUACUAAUCUUGUCUAGUACCGCCUUGGUUUUACCGGCUCCCUAGUACAAGGUUAUUAUUAUUUGGCACGAUAAGCCCUUAGCACCAUAUUGAUUAGAGUGUGGUUCAUGAGGUGUGGAUUCCCCUCUCAUGAUUUAAUUGGCAUUAAUACGGAUUAUUUAGCCCAUGAUGCAUGUUGAUACGGAUCCAGAUACCCAAGUACGUCAUUUCAAUAGAAUCAUCUUCAAUUUAUUCUCGCCAUUGCAAUUUCAAUUUUAGAAUUUAUUAUCGUCAUUUCAAUUCCAAUUUAAGGAUAAUUUAAAUCACUUCCACCACAAUUUCAACCUCCCAUUUACAAAAUUAAUUCUAUAUAUAAUUAAAAAUCCACCUCCUCGUGGGAUUGAUACUCGUCACCAUUAAUCUAUACUACAAUAGAUUCGUGCGCUUGCGAGUACAUUAAAAUUUGCACAACAGGAAGCCCUCUUUAUAUAGCAAAAAAUUUUGGCUCUUUUUUUAUUUUUUUUAUUUUUUUAGAACAAGUUAAAGCCGUGUGCUUCAUUUCUUUGGGCGGCACCUCCCUCAUCUCUUUUUCGUCUGUUUCUCUUUUGUUUAUUUCUUUGGGCGGCUGCCAAAGCCAAUUUGAUUUUGGCUAGGCCACCACUGGCUUUGACACUCUUUGCAUUUCCUUGGAUGAAGAAACCUUUUUCUUGUUUCAAUUUUCUGAUCUCAAAGCACUUUGAUUCUCGUCUGCCACACUGAUUUUGUCCUUCUUUUGUACAAACAUAAUUUCGCCAUUAUCUGUUUGAUUAUCAACUGACCUGUCGUUGACUCUAUUCUAUUUCUAUGUGAAAAAUACGAAAAAAAAAAAAAAGAGAUUGAAGAUGGUGGAAAGCAUUGUUACUGUUGUUUUAGAAGUUGUGAAAUGCUUGGCUCCUCCGACACAACGCCAACUUGAUUACUUGCGUAACUACAAUGAAAACAUUCAGAAACUCGAGGCAGAAACCGAGAGCCUGAAGGUUGAAAUUAGGAGCAUUGAGCGCAGAGUUUUUGGGGCCGAAAAAAAAGGAGAAAAGAGUGAAGAGAAAGUCGAGAAGUGGCUGGUUAGCGCCAACAAGAUCAUUGAUGAGGUGAAUGCCAAAUUCAUGGAAGAUGAAGAGACUGCAACUAAGCGAUGUCUCAAGGGGCUGUGUCCUAAUUUGAAGGCUCGCUAUCAGCUUAGCAAGAAAGCAGAGACACAGGUGAAGGCCCUUGUUGAGUGCCGAGAAGAAGCCGGUCGACUUGAUAGAAUUUCCUACCUUACCUAUCCGGACAAGAUAUGGCUCAAGUCCCACAAAGGUUACGAGGCCUUUGGAUCAAGGCUUUCUACUUUGAAGUGUAUACAAAACGCUUUGACAGAUGUUAAUGUCAGCAUCGUUGGAGUGUACGGCAUGGGCGGCGUUGGAAAGACGACUCUAGCGAAGGAGAUCGUUAGGCAAGCCUUGGCAGACAAGCUCUUUGAUCAAAUAGCCUUUUCAGAGGUUUCCGAAACUGUAGACAUAAAAAAGAUUCAGCGGGAUAUUGCUGAGGACUUGGGUCUGGCAUGGCAUGAGGAAACUGAAUCUAGAACUGCGAGUAGACUGUAUGAACAGUUGAAGAAUGAGAAGAAGAUUCUUGUGGUUCUAGAUAACAUAUGGAAGCAUCUUGAUUUGGAGACUGUUGGAAUUCCUUUUGGUGAUGAUUAUAGAGGUUGUAAACUCUUGCUGACAGCAAGAGAUCGUAAUGUUUUGUUGGAUAUGGAUUCUAAACAUAACUUCUUUAUUGACAACUUAAAUGAAGAAGAAGCUUGGAGAUUGUUUAAGACGAUGGCGGGUGAUUAUGUUGAAAAUCGUCAGCUGAAAUCUACAGCAACAGAUGUAGCAAAGGGAUGUGGAGGUUUGCCUAUUGCCUUAGCUACAACAGCAAGGGCAAUGAGAGACAAGACUGUGCAUGAAUGGAAGAAUGCCUUGCGAGAACUUCAAACGCCUUCAGUGAUGAACUUCGAAGGACUGCCGGCAGAUACUUAUUCAAGAAUCGAGCUGAGUUUCAAGUAUUUAAAAGGUGAGCAGCUCAAGAAAAUUUUUCUGCUUUGUAGUCUAAUAGGUAAUUCUAUUUUUACUUCAGACCUGUUUAAAUACUCCAUGGGUUUGGGUAUACUCCAAGGAGUCAAGAAGAUGGAAGAUGCACGAAACCAAUUAUAUGCAUUGGCCUAUAAACUUAAAGACGCUUGUUUGUUGCUUGAGGGAGGUAGCAACGAACAAUUUUCAAUGCAUGACGUCGUUCGCGAUGUUGGCAUAUCAAUUGCUUGCCGGGACCAACAUGUAUUUUUGGCAAAAAAUGAGGAUGUGUUGGAGCUGCCGGACAAGGAAGCACUUGAAAAUUGCUUUGCGAUUUCUAUAACAGGUUGCCGUAUUCAGGAGCUUCCUCAAGGAUUGGAAUGCUUGCAACUCGAAUUUUUAUAUGUAUCUCCCAAAGACUCUUACCUUCAAAUCAAUAUUCCUGAGAACUUUUUUGCAGGGAUGCGGAAGCUUAGAGUUGUAGAUUUUACUGGGAUGCAAUUAUAUUGCUUGCCAUCUUCAAUUGAUCUCUUAGUAAAUCUUCAAACACUAUGUUUAGAUCAAUGCAUGUUGGGAGACAUAGCUAUUAUUGGAAGGUUGAAGAAUCUGGAAAUCCUUAGCUUUUUAAAAUCAGAUAUUGUGCAGUUGCCUGAAGAACUACGUGAAUUGACUAAGCUAAGGUUGUUAGAUUUAUCCAAUUGUCUCCGGCUAAAAGUUAUUGCACCCAAUGUCCUAUCAAGCUUAACUCGAUUGGAAGAACUCUACAUGAAAAAUUGCUUUAUCGAAUGGGAGGUUGAAAGCCCCAAUAGUGGAAGAUGUACUGCCAGCCUUGUUGAGUUGUUGCAAUUGCCUCGACUGACCACUCUAGAAAUAGAUGUCAAAAAUGAUAGUAUUUUACCAGAAGGAUUUUUUGCAAAAAAAUUAGAAAGGUUCAAAAUAUCAAUAGGAGAUGAGUCAUUCAAGCCUCCCGUGCUUGCGAAUGAAUGGUUCCGUAGUCGGCGGCUUUUGAUCAGUAAUCCUUCGAGUUUAAGAACCAUUAAGCUGAAGCUUAGCUCAAAGCCUAUUUGCUCGAAGAAAAUGCAGGGCAUCCAGAAUGCUGAAUACUUGUGUUUGGACAAGCUGCAAGGUGUGAAUAAUGUUCUUUUCGAUAUGGACACUGAGGGCUUUCUACAGUUGAAGCAUCUCCAUGUUCAAAAUAAUCCUGAAUUCUCGUGUGUUGUUGACUCAACGGAGAGGGUAUCUCGCGAUGCCUUUCCUCUUUUGGAGUCACUUACUCUUUACAAUUUGAUUAACAUGGAGAGGGUGUGUACUGAUCCACUCAAAGUAGAGUCUUUCUGUGAACUUAAAACCAUAAAAGUGGGAAAAUGUGAUGAGUUGAGUAAUAUCUUCUUGCUGUCUUCCACAAGCUGCCUUCCCAGACUUGAGAGGAUUGCAGUUUUUGAUUGCGAUAAGAUUGAAGAGGUCUUUGCAAUUGGUGGAGAACCAGAUGUCGACAACUAUAAUACAAUGGAGAAGACAGAGUUUGCUGCAUUAAAAUGUUUACAUCUGCGGAAGCUUCCAAAGCUUGAAAGUUUUUGCUCUGAAGUAAAGAGACCAAAUACACAAGAGUCGCAAGAGGAAUUGACAGCUAUUACUUGCUCGAACGAAAUCAGUUUGUUGGAGGAGGACAAGCUUGAUACUUCGACACCGCUUUUCAAGGAGAAGGUAAGCAAUUAUAAUGAAACCAAAGCAUUCGUUUUUCUUUCUCAAUUUAUUCUAUCGUGCAUUCUCAUUUGAUGACAACUGUAGAAAAUAAAUUAUAAGGGAAAUAGAAAAUGAGAAUGGAAAUUAGAAUCUAACACACUCACUCACUAAGCUCGCUUUACACAUUAAUGAUGUGAAUUAAAUUGCAGAUUAAGUGUAUGUUUGGUAUGGUAAUAAUUCUCAAAAAAUCAUUUUUAGCACAGAUUUCUAAAAACUAUAUUUGAAAAAAGUUUUAACACAAUGUUUUGUAAAUGGGUGAGCUAUUUGCACCUCAAAAAUUACUCUAAACACUCUAAUUGAAAUAAAAAUUUAUAACAAAAAUAUCUAUCAUAUGAAUUACGUUAAGGACAAUUUAUUAUAAGUCAAUAUUACAUAAUUACUAUGAACGCCCCAUAUAACACACUCAUUAUUUAAUAUAUAUAAUUUUCAUGUUUUAAACCUUAAAAAAUUUUAUUUACAAAAUCUUCAUCAAUACUUAGAUGAAUAAUGAUAAAAUCAAUAUUUUUCUUUUAUUUUUCCAUAAAUAAAAUUAAUUUUGCACUCAUUAUUUUUAUUUUUUCAAAAAUAAAGUAAGUAUCUUUUUCCUUUUAUUGGGCUUUUGACCUCUUUUUUUUUUCUUCUUUGUCCUCUUCUCUUCUUCUCCUUCCUUUUUUAGAGUUAUUAUGGAAUAUUUCUUCUUAUUAUUUUCUCAUUGCAAGUUAUUUUAAGUGCAAAAUCCAAUAUUAAACAUAAGUAAACAAAAAAAUUAAUAACUAAAAUACUUGUUUUACUAUUUAAAUUACAUUCGGUACACAUGCAUGUUUGGUAAUUUACUAUUAUAAAAUACAUGUUUUAUUAUUUUUCAAAAAUAAAAGAGGUUUUUUAUAAUUCAUAAAUAAUAUUGAGCACACUAUUUUAAUAAUCACUUUUCAAUUACAUUUGUCAAACUCUUUGGUACAUUAGAUUGUCAAAUGAUCAAAUACCAAACACGCACUGAAGCUGUCACUUGGAAGAAGGUUUUGAUGGCUUAUAUUUACAAUCAAAGAAGAUACUUCUCAGCUUAUAUUGGAUCUAAUAAAAAAUUAAUGUUUAGGUUGUGCUCCCCAGCUUGGAGGAUUUGAAGCUGGUUGGAAUUAAUGUCGAAAAGAUUUGGCAAAAUCAACUUCCAGCCAUGUUUCUUUGCUUUCAAAGUUUAACUAAAUUGAUCGUGGGGAAGUGUCACAAAUUAAAAUGUAUAUUUUCGACUUCUAUGCUCAGAAGCUUUGAACAACUCCGACAGCUGAAUAUAUACAACUGUAUGGGUUUGCUUGAGAUUAUUUCCGAAGGAGCAGAUCAAGUGCCACCUUGUUUUAUCUUUCCGCGGCUGACAUUUCUAAGACUACGUAAACUACCAGAACUUAGAUGUUUAUAUCCUGGAAUGCAUACUUCGGAAUGGCCGGCACUAAAAAUGUUGAAGGUCUUUGGUUGUGACAAAAUAAAGUUAUUCGGUUCCGAAUUAUCUAGCUUCCAUGGAAACAUUGAUAAGAAUCAGCUUCAUAUCCCAGCGCAACAGCCCCUGUUGUUGAUCGAAAAGGUAUAUAUGCAACCAUUUAUUUGAUUUUUUAUCAGUUGAGUCUUACUGUUUCUUAUGUUUUACGUUUGAUUCUUUGUUGCAAAGAAACUCACAAACAAAAGAUUUUAGAAAUACCCACUGUACAUGUAUGUAUUGCUCAAAAUUGUUUGACAGAACAUCAAUAGAACUAAUUAGUUUUUAUAUGAGUUGAUGAUGUUCAGAUCUUCCCCAGCUUGGAGAAACUCCUAUUAAGUGGAAAGGAUUUCAGGAUGAUUUUGCAGGGUGAUUACCCACAAAACCUAUUUGGCAGUCUUAAAUACAUUAAGGUUGCGGAUGAUGACUCAGCUUGUUUUCCACUUGGUUUACUUGAGAAAUUUCAAAAUCUGGAAAUCCUCUUUCUGAGUUGUACUUCAUACACAGAGAUAUUAUCAAAUGAAGGACACUCGGAGAAGCACGUGGGCAAGUUCUCACAAGUAAAACAUUUACAGCCGUACAAACUGAAUGAUCUGAAGCACCUAUGGAAACAAGACUCCAAACUGGACUCCAUUCUUGCAAAUCUUGAAAUUCUACGAGUAUAUUGUUGUCAAAAUCUGACUGUUCUAUUGCCAUCAUCAUCGGUAUCGUUUUGGAAUCUAACAGAUCUGCAAGUUUGGGGCUGCAAGAAAUUGAUGAAUUUGGUAACAUCCUCCACAGCAAAGAGUCUAGUGCGCCUCAUGACAAUGAAGGUGUGUGGGAGCAAAGCAAUGACACAAGUGGUGGUAAGUGAGGAAGAUGGAGCAGAAGAUGAAAUUGUUUUCAGCAAAUUGAAGACAUUGUCUCUGCUUGAUUUAGAUAGCCUCACAAGUUUCUACUCUGGCAAUUACACCUUCAAAUUCCCAUCUCUACAAGAUUUAGAAGUGAUUGGUUGUCCCAAGAUGAAGAUUUUCACCACAGGAGAAUUAUGCACACCGCCGAGAGUAAAUGUCUGGUAUGGAGAGGGAGAUGGUGAAUGUCGUUGGGCUAAUGACCUUAACGUUACGAUACAAGAGUUGCAUGCUGAAAAGGUACGGUUAACCCACCAACUUAACUCCCAAGGAAAAAUUUUACAAAUUUGCACUUUUUAACAAAAUUUAGAAAAUAGAUCAUGGACAACCAAGUUUGACUCAUUAGAAUAUUUAUUAUUGAGUAAGUGCAUGAUCGGGUUUGAAAAAGUAUGAGACACUUCUGUAUGUAGUUCUUGAAACUGUCCAAUUUAAAACAGACAUAUUCAAUUCUCAAAAAAUCAUGAAUCAUUAGUUUUAACUUCAUAAUAUAAAAGUCGUGUCAAAUUAAUGAAUGAGAAUUUUGUUUUCAGAUGUUGGAGGGGUCGUCAUCUAACUUGAGGAAGUACGAUUGGUGAUCAUGUUGGCUUUUUAAUUUAUUACUUGGAGUUGUGAAUUUGAAGAAUAAAGUCCCAGGUAAAUAAUUUAAUUUCCCUUAUUUGAUCUCAUAGCUUGUUUCAUCGGUUCACCUGAACUAUUUAGAUUGCGUCACUGGUUUAUUGUUAACUUUAAAAUGAAGUUUUAAUGUUUCAUUCGGGGCUUUAUGAGCAAAUUUUACAUCAUUGAAUGUCCUUUGGUCUGAACUUUUGAGCUUUUUGUUUGAUAGUCAAGGCUUUAUAGUAUGCUAUUUAUAAUUCCUUAAGAAUGUGCAAAAUUUUUUAUGAUAAAAUUGCUUGAAUAUGUCAUUGAAAGGAACUUCUAUGUUGCUCUUUAUGAUUACAGAGUUCUCAAUGUUAUCACUCUUCUUUUGCAGGAUGUGGAAUCAAAGAUACUUUUCUAUGAAAUUUGUGUUCCUUGUAUUAAAAGUUUACAUGCUGAAGGGCUUCCUGUGUUAUCUUUGCUGUUCUACUUGUGCUUUACUUCAUUGUGUCGCUACAGCUUUGUGAGUGUUAUGUUAACUAUUGUUUCCUUCAUUUGGGCAUUGUAAGUUUCGAAGGCGCUACAUUGCUUGACUAAAGAUGCUUAAAUUUAUCAUCUGUUUGUACCCCUUGUAUUAUAUACAAUAAAUUUUUGAUGUAUUUUGACAUUUAAUACGAGAUAUGUUUGAAUUUUCAUUGAAAGGUUUCAUAAUUGUUCAAAUUUAUCUUCAGUUUUAUUUUUGUUAUCUUGUUGGAACCAAAUUGACAACCAAGAUCAAUUUGGAACACCCAAGAUCCACUCUAAGAAACUUGAUCUUAACUAGGUCUGAUACUAGACUGAGUUUAAGAAGAAAUUUGCCUAGGUAAGUGGAAUCAAACACAACUCAAGGAACAAAAGCAGAAAAGAAAGAAAACAGAUCUCACACACAGCACCAAGAUUUAUAGUGGUUCGGCCAUUUUCUUGCCUAUAUCCACUGUGAAAAGAGAAGCAAGCUUUCACUGAUUUCAGAGAUUACAAGUCACAGAGAUGAAGAGUAUGUGUAACAGAAUCGAAACCCCUCAGUAACAGAUCAUAGAGCCUUUUACAUUUCAAUCAAAACCCUCUAAAAGGACCCCAAACAAUCAGCUCACGCUCCUGGGUUUCUCAGCUAAGCAAUCCCAGCUGCAUCUGCAUCCCGCGUGAAUUAACUGAAUUAACAGCUUCUGGAACUGCUCAGGGACACUUGUCAAAUGCUCGUAUAAUUUGCUACUUCAAAAACCGACAUGACAUCACUUCCUUCCCCAAGCAUCAGACACGUCAUACACAUUCCCGAAUCCAGAUUUGAGCUUCCCCUCUUCAGCAUAUCUCAAAUACAUGUUAGGCCUUGCAUGCAUAGACGCACGUAAUAUCCCAGAAGAGUUUUAUCAGAUGAUUUUACUAUCAUCGUUGUUGUUGCUGCUCCCGCCGCCGCCAUUAUUACUAUUAUUAUACUACUACUUGAAAAUUUCAAGUAUUUUAGAUGAGAAAUUUAUUAUGUUAGAGAUAUUCAUAAUAUACAUGAUGCUGAAAUCAGGGAAUUUGUUGUCUCAGUUUGUUUUAUUUUUGUUUGCCUCGAAUCAAAUUUUGAAAUUUAAGAACUAUGGUAAGAGAUGGAACAAGAGGAGUUAAAAAAUUUGCCAAAAUUGAUGUAGCAAUGAAACAAUUGUAUCCUAACAUGUUUAGCAUCAUUCUACUUUAUGAUCAUUGUUGUUCCGUUAUUUUAGUUCUUGCUCUGUUUGUUCUGUUUCUCUGUUUAUUUCACUGGGGGUUUGCUUCACAAAAUCUUACUUUCAAAAUUUAGAAGGCAAGGAAAGAGCGCUUCGAAAAUGCAAGAGGUAUCAAAUCAUGCAUUAAAAAACUUGUUGGCUGCUGGCUGGUCUAUUUCAUUGGCACCGAUCGAAUCAUUAUCCCUAAAAUAAUUAGGAGUCGGAGAUAUAAGUGUGAAAAUAACAGGAUCAUUUACAACAUGGAAAUCAGUCGCCAUUGGUAGGUGGCGCUGCAUAUGAUAAUAACAACUGAUUGAUACCAACAAAGUGUUGGCUCCACUGGUAAUGGAGUCCCCUUAAGUGGCUUGACUGGAUUUGCUCCCCAGUUCGAGUCGCAGGGAAGUCGCCUUUGUUGGGAGAAUCUGUGCCUCCCGGUUCGAGCGGAGACUUCUAGUCUGGGUUGUGGUACGGGCUUAAAGGUGCCUCCCACAGUUGGGGCCCUCCCCAGGAUACCUCGUGAUUAAUAUAAAAAAAAAAAAACAACUGAUUGAUGAAAUUAAUGCCAUCAAUCUGCCUGUUAAUGUUGUUGACGCGUGUCAAAUUUUCAUGCAUAUUAGAAUUUAUUAGUGAGGUUGCAUUAUGGUCCAUAUCGUCAAUAACUUUAGCAGUCAAAUUUUACGCCACUGGAGUCAAAUUUUCAUGCAUAAAGCUGUUGGCUGGUCUGUUUGGCUCUACAAUGAUUUAUCUUUUCGACUUAAAAUGAUUCCAAAAAGCCAUCAGCAAUCUCUAGUGCAACUCUUCAAAAAAAAAAAUUAAAAUAAAAAUAAAAGUCUCAAAAAGUAUCAUUAAUUUAAUUCUAUUGUUUCCGGGUAAUCAGAACGUGUUUGAUAAAUAUUUAUAAGUUACAGUUUGAAAAUUAAAUAGAUUUUAUUUAACAAAAAGAUAUUGUUGACGCGUGUCAAAUUUUCAUGCAUAUUAGAAUUUAUUAGUGAGGUUGCAUUAUGGUCCAUAUCGUCAAUAACUUUAGCAGUCAAAUUUUACGCCACCGGAGUCAAGUGAUUUUUAAGCAGUUUUAUUCAACUGGUUACCUGAGUUCGAAUCUUAAAGAGAUAAAUAGUUAAAAAUGAAUUUAGACUUUGCCUACUCCUUUAAUAAAAAAAGAAGGUCAUUUAGUCUUAACUUUUGAAAUUUUUAUUUGACAUUUCGGCUUUAUAGCAUGCGAUGUAUUUUCUUAAAUUUUAUAAUUCCUUGAGAAUGUGCAAACAUUUUAUGAUAAAAUUACUUAAAAAUGUCGUUGAAACGAACUGAACUUUUUAUGUUGAAAGAAAGCCUUAUUAUUUUUCUGUACUUCUAUGUAAUGCUUUAUGGUUACAAAAUUCUCAUUGUUAUCACUCUUCUUGUGCAAGAUCUGUAAUGAAAGAUACUUUUCUGUCAAAUUUGUGUUCCUGAUAUUAAAAGUUCACAUGCUGGGGGGCUUCCUAUUUCAUCUUUGUCAUUCUACUUGUGCUUUGCUUCAUUGUGUAGCUACAGCAUUAUAAGCGUUACCAUAACUUAUCUGCAGCAAUUUUAUAAUUUACUAUUAUUGUGGUUGUUGCUGCUAUCAUUGUUCUACUAGUUGGAAAAUUCGAAUUCUUUUAGACGUGACAUUUAUCAUAUUAGAUAUUCAAGGUAUACAUACAUGCAUAUAUAUAUAUAUAUAUAUACUGGGUAUCUGUUUAGAUAUGAUGCAGAGAAAUGACAGAAGUUGUAUUAAGUGACGAAGAUUGAGCAGCAAAACAAGAGAUAGUUUUCAGCAAAUUAAAGACGUUGGCUCUGUUUGAUUUAGUUAGACUCACAAGUUUCUGCUCUGGCAAUUGCACUUUCAAAUUCCCAUCCUUGCAAGAUUUAACUGUGAUUGACUGUCCCAAGAUGAAGAAUUUUACUAGAGGAGAAUUAUGGAUGCCAUCUGGUACGGAGAGAGAGAAGAUGAAAGCCGUUGGGCUAAUGACCUUAACACAACCAUACAACAACUACAUGCAGAAACGGUAUGAUUAAUUCACUAUUCUAUCUCCAAUGGAAAAGUUUUACAAAAUUUGCAAUUUUUUAACAAAACGUAGAAAACUGAUCAUUGACAAGUUAGUUUGAUUCAUUAGAAUAUUCGCUAUUACUUUUGUAUUUAAUUCAUCAAACUGUCCUAUUUAAUAUUGACAUUUUCACAAAAGUUAGAUAAUGUUUUUCAAUUCUCACAAAUUCGUUAAUAAUUAGUUUUAAUUUCAUAAUAUGAAAAUCUUGUCAAAGAAAUUGUGUUAUUAAACUUAUUAAAUCUCUCGCUAGUGGCUUCCUUCCUAAUCUCCAUGUGCUUUAGUAUUUAUUUCCAAGUGCCUAAUUUUACGACUUUUAAUUUAGAUUAAUGAAUGACAAUUCUUAUUUUUUCAGCUGUUGGAGGGGCUUUCAUCUUAGUCGACUUUAUACAAGUAAUCUGAUCAAAUACAUUUUAGUACUUGGAUAAGAUGUGGAUUUGAAGACUAAAGAUCGCAGGUAACUAAUUUUAUUACUUAUGUACUUUUCUCAUGGUUUUGUUUCAUCGUUUCAUCUAAACUCUUUGGAAUGCAUUAAUUUUGUUUAUUGUUAAUUUGGAACGAAGUUUUAACGUAUCAUUCAGGGAUUUUGUUUGCAUCAUUGAGGGUUGUUUGGCCUUAACUUCUGAGGUUUUUGACAUUCAGCUUUAUAUUGUGCUAUUUUUUGUAAUUUUAUAACUUCUUGAAAGCAUGCAUAUAUUUUUUUUCUUAUCAUGAUGCCUCGAAAAUGUCAUUAGAAGGGACAGCAGUUUUCUUUUUCUUAUUUAUUUUCAAGUAUCUACGUUUGCGAAUUUUAGUUCAACUUGUUGAAUGGGAAUUUUGUUUUCAGCUACGUACAAGACGAUGCCGCUGCUGCUGCCAUUGUUACUGUCAUAGUUACUAUUACUCGAAAAUUUCAAGUAAUUUAGUUGUGAAAUUCAUUAUGUUAGAGAUAUUCAAAAUAUAUAUGAUGCUGAAAGAAAAGAGUGGACUUGUUGUCUCAGUUUGUCUCAUUUUGUUUUCUCCAACUCUAAUUUUCAAAUUUUAGAAAUAUGGUAAGAGAAGGAACAAAAUGAGUAAAAAAAUUGUCAAAAUAGUUGUAGCUAUGAACAAUUAUAUCCAAACACAUUUAGCAUCAAUCUACUUUGCCAAAUUUUUUAGUCAUCGUCUUUGCUCGGUUGUUUUAGUUUUUGCCCUGUUUGUUCUCUUUAUUUUGAUUGAGUUUGCUUUACAAAGUCUAUCUUUCAAAACUUAGAAGGCGAGGAAAGAGCGGGUAGGAAAUGCAAAAGGUAUCAAAUCAUGCAUAUGGUCAAAUGCUCCUGUAUAUGAACACAUAAAGAACAAUUGAAAUAUCAUUCACCGGAUAACACAAACAAAUAAAAAAAAAAAAAAAAAGAAGAAAGAGAGAAAAUCUAAUCGUCUCAUUAUCCCGAACACAAAUAAUUAAACCAUCAAAUGUUUGCAAUGAGCACAAUCAGAUCAUCUCUUUGGAAUAAUUACAUGUUGGCUUGGCCUAUUUUUUGGCCGGUAAAAAGGUUUUUGGCUGGAGCAUUUGGCCUUAACUUUUUUUUUUUUUUGAGUCUAUAUCAAUUGAUGCCACUAUGUCAAUAAUAAUUGGUAGGAAAUAAAUUAAUAUGUAACUAUAUCUUCUUAAUUAAUUAUUUGUUUUUUUAUCCAUUUACAUUGGAAAAAAGGGGUGCAGGGUCAGGAAGCUUCUUAGACGUGGCACGUUCAAAAGCUUUUUUUUUUUUUUGUCUGAACCACAUGGUCCUGAGUAGGCCCUAACUGUGGGAGAUACCUUUAAGCUCAUACCACAAUCCAAACUAAUCUCCACUCGCACCAGGUCGGCCCGUAAGGGAUAAAGUACUGGCUAAAGUGGUGACUCCAUAUAAGAGCGGGGCUUGAACCUCUGACCUCUCUUAAGAAGUGAGAGUGCCGAACCACUCUGUUCAAAAGCUUUUCUUUUUUAAAAGCUGCGUCAAGCAUGACACGUCAACAUCAUUUACAAGUGGGAACAACUCUUUUUCAUAAAAGAAAAGCCUUUUUUGUUUUAAAAUAAAGUUUUUUUGGAUGAUUCACUAUUACUAAUUGCCCAAGUCAUUCUAUUGCGAAUACAUGCAAAUUAAUAAAGAGACUUGUGGGGUUGCUGGAUAGAAAUUGUUGAAUACAUACAAAUUAUUGAACAGAAAUCCAAUAAUUGAACACCGGCCAAUUCUUGUCCAAUCAAAUUAAAACUCAAUUAAUAUAUUCCACUAAAUUUUUCGUACAACAUCCUAUUCAGAUGAAUAAAAUGUAAAAAAUAAAAUAUAUAAUUCAAAAAAUUAUAAAGGAUGCAAUUUAGCAGGUCAUACAAUAUACCAACAUCAUUUACAAGUGGGAACAACUCUUUUUCAUAAAAGAAAAGCCUUUUUUGUUUUAAAAUAAAGUUUUUUUGGAUGAUUCACUAUUACUAAUUGCCCAAGUCAUUCUAUUGCGAAUACAUGCAAAUUAAUAAAGAGACUUGUGGGGUUGCUGGAUAGAAAUUGUUGAAUACAUACAAAUUAUUGAACAGAAAUCCAAUAAUUGAACACCGGCCAAUUCUUGUCCAAUCAAAUUAAAACUCAAUUAAUAUAUUCCACUAAAUUUUUCGUACAACAUCCUAUUCAGAUGAAUAAAAUGUAAAAAAUAAAAUAUAUAAUUCAAAAAAUUAUAAAGGAUGCAAUUUAGCAGGUCAUACAAUAUACCAAAAAAAGUCUUGGGGGUGCAGUGGGAAUAUUUCUUGACAGAAAGAGUCUUAAAAAUUUUUUCGCCAGAAAACAUUUUCUCUCUCUGAUCUCUGUAUUCUUCAGAUCCUCCUCCUUGCUUGAACGUCUGUAACUUUGUCAUCCAUGAUUUGCAUUCAAUUCUUGACGAAAAAACCUUUUUCCGGAUUUUCAUCUUUUGAUCUCAAACAUGCUUUGCUUCUGUUGAUUGUGGUCGCUUCUAGUGCUAGUUCUCUUCUUAUAUAGCUUUGUUCCCUUUUGCCAUCAGCUCUUUGCAUUUCCUUGGAUGAAGAAACCUUUUUCUUGUUUCAAUUUUCUGAUCUCAAAAGCACUUUGAUUCUAGUCUGCCACACUGAUUUUGUCCUUGUUUUGUACAAACAUAAUUUCGCCAUUAUCUGUUUGAUUAUCAAUUGACCCGUCGUUGACUCUAUUCUAUUUCUAUGUGAAAAAUACGAAAAAAAAAAAAAAGAGAUUGAAGAUGGUGGAAAGCAUUGUUACUGUUGUUUUAGAAGUUGUGAAAUGCUUGGCUCCUCCGACACAACGCCAACUUGAUUACUUGCGAAACUACAAUGAAAACAUUCAGAAACUCGAGGCAGAAACCGAGAGCCUGAAGGUUGAAAUUAGGAGCAUUGAGCGCAGAGUUUUUGGGGCCGAAAAACAAGGAGAAAAGAGUGAAGAGAAAGUCGAGAAGUGGUUGGUUAGCGCCAACAAGAUCAUUGAUGAGGUGAAUGCCAAAUUCAUGGGAGAUGAAGAGACUGCAAAUAAGCGAUGUCUCAAGGGGCUGUGUCCUAAUUUGAAGGCUCGCUAUCAGCUUAGCAAGAAAGCAGAGACACAGGUGAAGGCCCUUGUUGAGUGCCGAGAAGAAGCCGGUCGACUUGAUAGAAUUUCCUACCUUACCUAUCCGGACAAGAUAUGGCUCAAGUCCCACAAAGGUUACGAGGCCUUUGGAUCAAGGCUUUCUACUUUGAAGUGUAUACAAAACGCUUUGACUGAUGUUAAUGUCAGCAUCGUUGGAGUGUACGGCAUGGGCGGCGUUGGAAAGACGACUCUAGCGAAGGAGAUCGUUAGGCAAGCCUUGGCAGACAAGCUCUUUGAUCAAAUAGCCUUUUCAGAGGUUUCCGAAACUGCAGACAUAAAAAAGAUUCAGCGGGAUAUUGCUGAGGACUUGGGUCUCGCAUGGCAUGAGGAAACUGAAUCUAGAACUGCGAGUAGACUGUAUGAACAGUUGAAGAAUGAGAAGAAGAUUCUUGUGGUUCUAGAUAACAUAUGGAAGCAUCUUGAUUUGGAGACUGUUGGAAUUCCUUUUGGUGAUGAUUAUAGAGGUUGUAAACUCUUGCUGAUAGCAAGAGAUCGUAAUGUUUUGUUGGAUAUGGAUUCUAAACAUAACUUCUUUAUUGACAACUUAAAUGAAGAAGAAGCUUGGAGAUUGUUUAAGACGAUGGCGGGUGAUUAUGUUGAAAAUCGUCAGCUGAAAUCUACAGCAACAGAUGUAGCCAAGGGAUGUGGAGGCUUGCCUAUUGCCUUAGCUACAACAGCAAGGGCAAUGAGAGACAAGACUGUGCAUGAAUGGAAGAAUGCCUUGCGAGAACUUCAGACGCCUUCAGUGAUGAACUUCGAAGGACUGCCGGCAGAUACUUAUGCAAGAAUCGAGCUGAGUUUCAAGUAUUUAAAAGGUGAGCAGCUCAAGAAAAUUUUUCUGCUUUGUAGUCUAAUGGGUAAUCCUAUUUUUACUUCAGACCUGUUUAAAUACUCCAUGGGUUUGGGUAUACUCCAAGGAGUCAAGAAGAUGGAAGAUGCACGAAACCAAUUAUAUGCAUUGGCCUAUAAACUUAAAGACUCUUGUUUGUUGCUUGAGGGAGGUAGCAGCGAACAAUUUUCAAUGCAUGACGUCGUUCGCGAUGUUGGCAUAUCAAUUGCUUACCGGGACCAACAUGUAUUUUUGGCAAAAAAUGAGGAUGUGUUGGAGCUGCCGGACAAGGAAGCACUUGUAAAUUGCUAUGCGAUUUCUAUAAGUGGUUGCCGUAUUCAGGAGCUUCCUCAAGGAUUGGAAUGCUUGCAACUCGAACUUUUAUAUAUAUCUCCCAAAGACUCUUACCUUCAAAUCAAUAUUCCUGAGAACAUUUUUGCAGGGAUGCGGAAGCUUAGAGUUGUAGAUUUUACUGGGAUGCAAUUAUGUUGCUUGCCAUCUUCAAUUGAUCUCUUAGUAAAUCUUCAAACACUAUGUUUGGAUCAAUGCAUGUUGAGUGACAUAGCAAUUAUUGGAAGGUUGAAGAAUCUGGAAAUCCUUAGCUUUUUAAAUUCAGAUAUUGUGCAGUUGCCUGAAGAACUAGGUGAAUUGACUAAGCUAAGGUUGUUAGAUUUAUCCAAUUGUUUCCAGCUAAAAGCUAUUGCACCCAAUGUCCUAUCAAGCUUAACUCGAUUGGAAGAACUCUACAUGAAAAAUUGCGUUAUCGAAUGGGAUGUUCAAAGACCCAAUGGUGGAAGAAGUACUGCCAGCCUUGGUGAGUUGUUGCAAUUGCCUCGACUGACCACUCUAGAAAUAGAUGUCAAAAAUGAUAGUAUUUUACCAGAAGGCUUUUUUGCAAAAAAAUUAGAAAGGUUCAAAAUAUCAAUAGGAGAUGAGUCAUUCAAGCCUCCGGUGCGUGCGGAUGAAUGGUUCGGUAGUCGGCCGGUUUUGAUCAGUGAUCCUUCGAGUCUAAGAACCAUAAAGCUGAAGCUUAGCUCAAAGCCUAUUUGCUCGAAGAAAAUGCAGGGCAUCCAGAAUGUUGAAUACUUGUGUUUGGACAAGCUGCAAGGUGUCAAGAAUGUUCUUUUAGAUAUGGACAUUGAGGGAUUUCUACAGUUGAAGCAUCUCCAUGUUCAAAAUAAUCCUGACUUCGUGUGCGUUGUUGACUCAACGGAGGGGGUACGUCGUGAUGUGUUUCCUCUUUUGGAGUCACUUACUCUUUACAAUUUGAUUAACAUGGAGAGGGUAUGUAUUGAUCGACUCAAAGUAGAGUCUUUCUGUGAACUUAAAACCAUACAGGUGGGAAAAUGUGAUGAGUUGAGUAAUAUCUUCUUGCUGUCUUCUAUAAGCUGCCUUCCCACACUUGAGAGGAUUGCAGUUUUUGAUUGCGAUAAGAUUGAAGAGGUCUUUGCAAUUGGUGGAGAACCAGAUGUCGACAACAAUAAUGCAGUGGAGAAGAUAGAGUUUGCAGCAGUAAAAUUUUUACAUCUGCAAAAUCUUCCGAAGCUUGCAAGUUUUUGCUCUGAAGUAAAGAGACCAAAUACACAAGGGUCGCAAGAGGAAUUGACAGCUACUACUUGCUCGACCGAAAUCAGUUUGUUGGAGGAGGACAAGCUUGAUACUUCGACACCGCUUUUCAACGAGAAGGUAAGCUGUUAUAAUGAAACCAAAGCAUUCGUUUUUCUUUCUCAACUUAUUCUAUCGUGCAUUUUCGUUUGAUGACAACUAUAGAAAAUGAAUUAUAAGGGAAAAAGAAAAUGAGAAUUGGAAAUUAGAAUCUCACACACUCACUCACUAAGCUCGCUUUACAUAUUAAUGAUGUGAAUUAAAUUGCAUAUUAAGUGUAUGUUUAGUAUGGUAAUAAUUCUCAAAAAAUCAUUUUUAGCACGGAUUUCUAAAAACUAUAUUUGAAAAAAGUUUAACACAAUGUUUUGUAAAUGGGUGAGCUAUUUGCACCUUAAAAAUUACUCUAAACACUCUAAUUGAAAUAAAAAUUUAUAACAAAAAUAUCUAUCAUAUGAAUUAUAUAAAGGACAAUUUAUUAUAAGUCAAUAUUACAUAAUUACUAUGAACGCCCCAUAUAACACACUCAUUAUUUAAUAUAUAUAAUUUUCAUGUUUUAAACCUUAAAACUUUUUUAUUUACAUCUUCAUCAAUACUUAGAUGAAUAAUGAUAAAAUCAAUAUUUUUCUUUUAUUUUUCCAUAAAUAAUCAAUAUCAAACGCGCACUGAAGCUGUCACUUGGAAGAUGAUUUGAUCUAACAAGAAAUUAAUGUUUAGGUUGUGUUCCCCAACUUGGAAGAUUUGGAGUUGAUUGGAAUUAAUGUCGAAAAGAUUUGGCACAAUCAACUUCCAGCCAUGUUUCCUCGCUUUCAAAGUUUAACAAAAUUAAUCGUGGGGAAGUGUCACAAAUUAAAAUGUAUAUUUUCGGCUUCUAUGCUCAGAAGCUUUGAGCACCUCCGACACCUGGAUAUAUGCAACUGUAUGGGUUUGCUUGAGAUUAUUUCCGAAGGAGCAGAUCAAGUGCCACCUUGUUUUAUCUUUCCGCGGCUGACAUUUCUAAGACUAGGUGAACUACCAGAACUUAGAUGUUUAUAUCCUGGAAUGCAUACUUCGGAAUGGCCGGCACUAAACUCGUUGAUGGUCUUUGGUUGUGACAAAAUAAAGUUAUUUGCUUC
rnacentral:lncRNA from 1 species